rnacentral:lncRNA from 1 species
GAUAGCAUAAGUAGUAGUAGGAAGCAGCUCUUAUUUGUGGCGUCGGUAUACAUCAUACUAGGUAGAUGGUUCAAUUGGCAUGGAUGGGUGGUGGAGCCUUGAAGUGCUUGUGAUGGGGAGCCCACGGCUUCUUCUCAGGAGUUGGUGGCUUCUUGUAUGGAGUUGAUGGAGGUGUUUCUACUGGAGGGUGGCCAGGGUAGUGACCCUGGGGUGGUGAAGGUUCUUUUGUCGGUGGUGGCCUCACUAUUAUUGGCGGUAGAGUUGGUGGCUUGGGCGUUGGCGGUGGUCUCACUACUCUUGGGGGUAGAGUUGGUGUCUUGUGUUUUGGUGGUGGAGGUGGCUUAACAGGAGUUGGUGGCUUGUAUUCUGGGGGUGGUUUCUCCACCGGAGGUGGCUUAUAAACUGGAGUUGGUGGCUUGUAUUCUGGGGGUGGCUUCUCCACUGGUGGUGGCCUGUAAACAGGGGUUGGUGGCUUAUAUUCUGGGGGAGGCUUCUCCACUGGAGGCGACUUAUAAACAGGGGUUGGUGGCUUGUAUUCCGGGGGUGGCUUCUCUACGGGAGGUGGCCUGUAAACAGGGGUUGGUGGCUUCUCCACCGGAGGUGGCUUAUAAACGGGGGUUGGUGGCUUGUAUUCUGGGGGUGGUUUCCCCAGUGGUGGAGACUUGUAAACAGGAAGAGGUGGUUUGUGCUCAUAUGGGGGUGGCUUGUGGUCAUUAGCAAGUGAGGGAGUGGUGAGGACCACCAAUCCAAGGAACAACACGAGUGAGCAAGCAGAAGACAUGUUUGGGCUCUGGUGAUGCACAAGUAGAAGAAAUGGGAACCAUUUAUAAUGCUUCGAGACCUUGGUUAGCACCAAAAUAUGUCAAAAUCUUGAUUACUUCAUUUCAUACAUAGAUUUAAAAUUAUUUCAAUCAACCAUGAUCCUUAAUUUUCUGGGUGGUCCAUAAAUGUAAUGGGGUCAAUUUGGGACCUAACAAGCUGAGAAGUUUGACAAUGCUGCAAGGCUUCAUCCGAAAGUCCGGGGAAGAAUAUUAGGAGUUACACUCCGUUUCCUUUUUUGGGUGCAUUUUUCUCCUUUAACAUUCUAUUCCCUUUUACAUUAGCAUUUGAUCUUAGCUCAUUUCAAGUACAAGUUUCUUGAACCCUAUACCAUUGUCAAAGUUGAGUAACCAUCUCUACUUUGCUCAAGAAACAUAAAAGACAAUGACAAUAAAGAAAAAGGAGAGAGACCAUACGUGACUUGGUUUAUAGGUGGCUUUGUGUUGACAUUUGAGUAUGGAAGCCGACAUGCAUCUUAGCUUCGAUUUUAAUUAAAUUUGUACAUUAGUGUCUGUGUCAUUCAUUUUGGUAUAAAAGGUCUCUUGAUUUCGUAAGUUUGGUAAGAACCGUUGAAAAUAGCAGUAGCAGCACAUGGUCCACUUUCUUUCACAAAAUAAUUUUAAAAGUUUAGAAGCAUAGGAGGUAACAUUAGUGGCCUUGUGGCUCAGCCACGAGUACUAUGUGGUGCUCGAGAAAUUGAGUUUAAUUUCCUUCCGAUAGUUCAUGAUAAGGUCCGUCACUGUCCUGAGACAGAUUGCGUUUUUUCUUUUUUCCUUUUUUAGUGUUUUAUUGACUAGCUAGGUGUGACUUUUCCUACUUUAAGGCACGAGGCAGAAAAGAAACUGGGAUUUAGUGCUUAAGAAGGCAAAUUUAAUUCGAUUUGGAUCUAAAAUUUGCCAGCAACAUGAGAUUUUCCAGCCUAUCGUUGCUCCACAUAUAGACAAGGCACUUGUAGAAGUGGCUUGUUUGUAGCCAUUCCCGAUAUUUGGACUCACUUGAUUCACCGGACACUUUGAUAAAAUUUAAUAUUUAUUAUUUAAUAAUUUAAAUUGAUUUAAAAUUAAAUUAUACCGAAGUUGUGAUUUAAAAAUUAUUAUUUAAUUCUUACUUUUAAAUAUGAAGAUUAUUUGAUAAAAAUAAUUUAAAAUUUAUUAUAAAUUAUCAAAUUAACAUAUUUAUCCUUAUAAAUUAUAAUUAAAACAGAAAAGGUCAAAUGAUUUGAGUAUCCAUAGAUGUGGUAAAAUAAUAAAAAAGAUUAUAAAAACAAUUAUGAUAAAUAAAGAUAAAAAGUAAAAUGAAUAUGUGAAUUUAAAGAAUAAAUUAAUUAUUUUUAUUUAUUACUUAAAAUUAUUUUUGACUUUAAAUUAUAUUAUUAAAUUAUUUUACCAAACAUACUUAAUUUAGUUAAUAAUUUAAAUUUAAUUUAAGUUAUUAAAUUGAUUCACCAAAUACCCACUUAAUCAAAGACUGAAGUAUACAUUAUUUGGCCAAAUGCAGCUAUUGAAAUUUAACUUUUUCCAAACUUAUUCAUUUUGUGGAAAUAUUUUUAGAAAUGAUUUUAAAAAUGCACUAUUCUGUGUGUUGAUUUUAUAUUUUGGCAUUAAUCCAACAUAGAAAACGGUUCUUAUUUUCGCUGUUAAAUAGGUACCAGAUCCUUAAUUAGUGCCGUGAAUCCGGCAGCUUCCAAUGAGUAAUUUGGACUUGGGUAUUGACAAUGUGUGGCCAUGCUUCUACUAUUUUAUUAUUCUUGAAACAUAUAUGAUAUAUUGGACUUUAUACAGGGAAAAAAAAAAAAAAAAGUCUUCACCAAAAAUGAUUCCUCCUAAAAAAUAGACUCCACAAACUAGGUUUAACAGGAAAAUGAUUCUAAUCUAGUAGUUUCCAGCCACAUGAGCAUUUACGUAACAAUAGUAUAGUUGAUAACGACUUUUAUUUUAUUUAUUUUUAAAUAGUUAAAGGGAUAAUUUUUGAGCUUAAAUUUUAUUUUUUUAUUUAGAAACAUUUUACUUUAUUUUUUAAUCAUAAUUCUAUUAUAUUAAUGUUUUAUUUUCUAUUUUUUAAUAUAUAAGGAGAUACUAAAUUUAUGUGAUUAUUUUUUAAAAAUUUAGUAUAUGAAAUUAAAUAAUUGGAUAUAUAUACAUAUAUCAUAUAAUGUUUUUUAAGUGUGAUUUUUGAACUUUUUAGUCAUUUUAUAAGUUUAAGCUUUUGAUUUUUUUUUUUAAACUUUGGUAUUUUUUAUUUUAUAUAAAACUAUUUUGAUUUAAUUUUAUUAAAAAAUAUUGGUAUUAUAAAUUAUUGUAUUAAUUAUUUUUUUAUAUUAUAAUGUAACUGGUAUAUACUAAAAAAUGUAUGCAAGUUCAAUUUAAGUUUCAAAUUAAAAAAUUUCAUUUAAAUAUUUAAUAACUUGUUCAUAAUAAAAAAUUAAACAACAUAAUACAAAUGAAAAGAAACAUAAAAGAAAAAGGAAAAAAUGGUCCUCUCUGUGUGUCACAUUACUAGGUCAUCCUCUUUUUCUAUGACCCUUACAAUAGAAUGGCAUAUUUGUCAAAUCUACUUAUGAAAGUUGGAAUGUUUCUACAUGUGUAGGGUCCAUUGGAACUAAUGGAGGAAAGGCUUAACGUCUAUGUAAAUCACAACGUUGCCUAGGUGGGCAUAGAUCUAGUUGUGUAACAUGAGAUGGUGUGAGAGUACAAUAUAUGCAUUGUAGUCUCUAUGGGAAGAGAGAUAGGUAAUGGUAGGGUGGUAGACGGUAGGGUGAUCUCUAAUAUAAUGACAUUUGAUGUGGUGGCUUCUAAGAGAGGAGAUAUAAGAGAUGGUAGAAUGACAUUUGGUGUAAUGGUCUCUAGUGCAAUGACAUGUGAUAUGGUGACCUAUAAAGAAGAGAUAUAGGUGAUGGUGAAGUGGUAUGUGGUGUAGUGACCUUUGAGAUAGAAAAUAGAGGUAAUGGUAGGUUGGCAGGUGGAGUGGUCUUUGGUGUAGUGACAUCAAUUAUAAAUGUCUCCAAGGGAGGAAAUAAAGGUGAUGGUAGGUAGUAAAUGUUGAGGUGGUCUUUGAUAUGUUAUGCUCUAAGAGAGAAGGUAUAGGUAAUGAUAAUAGGGAAUUUGACAUAGUGGUGUUGGAAAUAAAAAGUGAAAGUGACCGUAGAGGUGAAAGGGCAAGUGUAAAAGCCUCAAGUACGAAUGGAGUAAUUAAUGUGGAUGGUGCUAACAUAGUCUUAGGUGGAUACACAAAUAGUCAUAGUCAUCAACUAGCUUGCCCACCAUCUGUCUUUCUGCUAGUGAUAGGUUACAUCUUAAUAGUAAUGGCCAACAUAAGUGGUGUGGAUCCGAUUUUUUUACGUGUGUCCCCACUCAAUCGACAAGACUUAUUUUUUAUUAGUGAAAAAUUAAUUUUGGAAAAGUUGGAGUCACCACUUAUUUUAUUUUAUUUUAAAAAGGAAAGUAAAACAAGAAAGAGAACUCUAAAGAAGUGACUUCAUAGUUUUGGAAAAGUUAGUCUUAAAAAAUCCAAGUCUUGGUCCGGAGAUCAGGUUACUUAUUGGGAAGAUACCUCUAAGAGGUAAUACCCCUCUAAACCCUAAAGAAGUCUCUAAUGACUAAGUUGAGGAGAAUGUGGUAAUUAAUUAAUUGAUUGAGGGUACCUAGGUAGACUAAGGUGAUUUCAGAAUUAACAUACCAAGCUAGAAAGUCCAAUCAUGAUCAUAAAAGAGAGUCAAAGUAUGUACCUGAACUGCUUCUCAAACGCUAUCAUAAAACAUCAAAGUUAGUAUAGAAAUAUAACACAUAAUAUUUGUUUUAUCCAAGCAAAUAAAGCAUACAUCUAAGCACCCAAGAAUCACAUCAAGUAUGGAUAUAGUCAUCAAUAGCAUACGUGUCCAUAGAACUAUCGAAAGUAAAUGUGGAGGAGCGUAUCUGGACAACAUAGAUAACUUAUAAUGUGCUUCCACAAGACAUGGGGGUUAGAUAAAAGUUAUAAUAAUAAUUAGUAAAUGAAAGAAUUCUAGCAUGUUUGGUAUCUAAAUAACAUAGCAAAAAUGAACAAGAGUACACGAAAACAUCAAUUAUCACACGAGUCAUAUUGGCUAGUAUUUAAUCAAUAAACCAACAAUAAAUGACUAUAAACAUAUAAAAUGACAUAUUCAAAGAGACCCAAACAUAAAGAGCCUAGAACACAAGCUUACACUAAAUUUAGAAAACUAAAACAUGGAAUUUUAAAAGCAUAAAUUAGCAAACAAAUUGAUGGAAACUAAAUUUAGAUAACUUAAGAAUAUUUUUCUUAUCCUUCAAUUUAAAUCAGUAAGCCAACAAUAAAAAAUUAUAGAAACAUGGAAUAUCAAGAUCAAUGGGAUACCUAAACUAUAAUUUUUAAAAGAAAAUAAACUAAGCAUAAUAUCUACAAAGCAACUAAACUAACAUUUUUUUAAAAAUAAAUUAAACAUGACAUUAAUGGAGUAACCAAACUAAAUUAAAGUAAACUAAAAACAUUUAUGAAUUUUCAAACAUGGAAUCAGCUUUCUUAGUAAAUUAAAAUUAUUAAAAUAAAAUCUAAGCUUAAAAAUGAAUUAAAUACUAACUAAAGCAAAUCUAAAACCAAAUAUUUAACACAUAGGAUCAAUUAUAUUAACAAACUAAAAUUUUAUAAGAACACUUAAACCUAAAGUUGAAUUAAAAACUAACCAAUUUUUAAAACUAGAUCUUUAACCCAUAGGAUCAAUUAUAUUAACAAAUAAAUAAUAAAUAAUAAAUAAAUAAAACUCAAACCUAAAGAUGAACUAGAAAUGUACCAAAGUAAAUUCAAAACAAGAUCUUUAACACAUUAGAUCAAUUAUAUUGACUAACUAAAAAAAAAAAAAAAAAACACUCAAACCUGAAACGAUGUAUUAGAAACUAACCAAAGCAAAUUUAAAAUAGAGUCUUUAACACAUAGGAUCAAUUAUAAUCACUAACUUAAAUUACAAUUUUUGAAACAUGAACUAAUUAGUGUUGGAUUAAUUAAACUAAUUAACUAAAAAAAACUAUAAACUAGAAUACGGUGAAUCAAGAAUUCAAAUCAACAAACAUAAAAUAUGGGUACAAUGAAAUGAAAAUCUAUUAAACUAAUAAGACGGAAAUAUGACAAACUCAUGAACCCACAUUUUGAUCAACUAGGAAAUAGAAAUUAAUAGACCUGUAGCAUGGAUACAAUGAAAUGAGAUCAGUUAAAUUUAUUUGCCGAAAUUCUAAAAAACACAUACACUCAAAUAAGAUCUAAAUCUAAGACCAAGCAAAACUCAAACUUUCUCAAUCUAAUGCAAUGAAUCAAAACUAAAAUUAAAUAGAAAUCAAACCAUUUUUUUUUUAUCUAAUAUAAUAAAUCAAAGCUAAAACUAAACAAAAUCGAAUUUUCUUAAUUUAAUAUGAUGAGUCAAAGCUAAAAUUGAACAAAGUUCAAACCUUUAUAUAAUGGAUCAAAGUUAAAUCUAAAUGAAAUCCAUACUUCCACAAUUUGAUAUAACAAAUCAAAAAUAAAACUAGAUAAAAAAAAAGUCAAAGCCUUUCAACUUGACAUAGUGAAUCCAAACUGAAACGAAACAAAAUUUUAACUUUUCCAAUGAAACCCAAUAUAGAAAAAAUUAGCUUACCUUCUUUAGAAUAUAUGUAUGGGCCAUAAAGAAGUCACCUUGGUGCAUGUGUUCCUCACUUUGACGCCAAUGGACGACUUUCUAUGGUAGCAAAUGGAGAUCCUUUUUGGUGGUAACUUGCGUGUGGAAACCUAUGGUACAACCAAUGUCAUCUUUUAUUGUGCGUGUGGACCAAUUUCUUCUCGAGAACUCAUGUGUGUUGUGCUCAAAAUAUGUUGCCUGUGAGAAUCUAUUGGUAUACCCCACAUAUGGUUUCCUUGAGAGAAUCUGUGGUUGUGUGUGGGCGUUUUCUUCAUGACAGCAUGUGGAUGUUCCCAUCUAUGGUAGAUUGGUUGUGAUGCUUUAGUGCAUGGUCUCCAUAGGAAUAGUGUGUUAUGGAAAUUUGGUUUUUUUAUUGGUGCAUGUUGUCUAGACUUUCCCAUAUGCGUGGACUGUGUGUUCAUGCUUUUCUUUUCGGAUGGUCGCCUGUGUUAAUGUGUGGCGGUGUCUACAAUGAAAGAUACAACCCUUUCUCUCCUUCUGCGUGAUAGAAAAGUCAAUCCCCCAUGGUGCGACUAUGUUCCCUCGUCCUUUUUGAAAAAUUUUGGUGUUUUCCCCCCAAAAAAUCCCCUCCAAAAAUCUAAUUAUAAAUGUCUGCUUUGGCCUAAUGUGUGUGCUACUUUUUUUUUCCUUCUUUUUAUGGUUGUGCGUGCUUUUCUUGAUACGUGGCUUAUUUCUUAAGGAUAUGAUUCGCUCCCAAUUGGUGUCUCAGCUGAUUCAUGUCCUUUCAAUGGUCCCUGACAGUGGUGCCAUUUGAUUCGUGUCCAGCUGGUGUCCCUUGAUUGUGGUCCUCAGAAGGGAGUAAUCAAUAAAAUUUAUAACCUAUUACACCAUGUAUUAGGAUAGCCUUAGCUAGCAUAGCAUAGUGGCUCUAGGGUCGUUUAUUGGGAUGAGUUUUCACUUCACAAUUGAUAUUAAUUCAAGAGCUGAAUUGGUGCCUUUUCAUUUCAAGGUUAGCUUUAAAAGAAAACAUAAUCUUUGGUGGAAAAAGGUUUGGUUUUAAACUAACCAAAAAUAGUAACUGAUUUUACUUACAAAGAAAAGUGUUCUUUGGAGUUUAGAUCACUAGGCUCAGGUUCCUCAUACAAAAAGGAGAGUUCCGAUCAUUUGUUUCUUUUCCUCGCAUUAGAGAAUUAACAUAUAGUUAAUUCUCUAACCGGUGCGGUACAUAUGCUUCCCAUUAAUGGGUUCAAACACUAAAUACCUCUCACUGAUGCACCUUGCAAUGGCUCGUGCCUCUCACCUAGCAUUUAUCAUUCAAGGUGAUCUUUAACCUUGGAUUACCCAUCAAAAGCUCGCAAGAGAUAACUAAAGGAUGUCUCCUUAGAGUCCAAAAGCUUACCAAGUGUUGGUUAUUCUAGAAAAUCCUACCUUCAAACCACCUCCCAAAGGCUCGCAAGAGAUAAACAAGUGCAUCUCAAUGGAUGAAGAUCACUUGCCUUACCAAGUUUUGGCCCAGAUGAUUUAAUGACAUUUUAAGUUAACUAAAAAGAUAAAAACCAUUAACGGGUCACACUUUCUCUUCAUUAAAAACUAAAACAACAAAACUUCCAAUUUAUGCAUGAGGAAACUUACCUGGCUUUCUUCACUUCAAGAGAUGAAGAGCCUAGCCACUCAUCAUUUGAGGAAAAAUCCUCAGAGUUUGAUUUGCUAGAAAUAAAAAUAAUGAGAAAACAAAAAUAUAUAUAUGAAAAACAGAGCAAGUUCUCUGUAAUAUAUUUUUCUUCCUUAUACAAAAGGUUGUCUCUAAGAACAAGUUCCCGAGAUCUAUCUGAUUGUAAAUAAAAUUACAACUAUAUAUAAGAGGUUAUUCACCCCUUUGUUCUUUCUUAAAGACUAAGGAAUCCUAUGAUAGGUGGGUUACAAGGAGAGUUUGGGGAUUUAGACAUCAAAUAUCUAAAGCAAAAUAUCUCAAGAUGUUAGUCGGAAAUAUCAGGAAGCUUCAGGAGAACACCGCGACACUGUAUACUGAGAGAAAAACUCUCCGGGUAAGCUCUAUCAAAGGAUCCAGACAUGUCUGACUGGGAAAGUUGAAACGUCCUUCUCUCCCAUCCGGAUGUGAGAUAUCCGGAGAAAGUGAAAUGUCGGUCGGACAGAAUUCUUUCCCCGGGUGGAAUGAGUUGUGUUGCGCGUCGCAAGGGGGACCGUCUGCGUGUACAAGUUGUAGGGACCCCUCUCCCGGAUGACACCGAGCGCGUAAGGCUAUCCGGAUCAACUCCAUUCGGAUUCCCCAAGAGGACAUGUGGCGUGCUCCCCUAUCAGGACUCCCUUAGGGAGAAGCACACGACACUCGUGAACAUCAUACCCGGACGAUAGCAUGUCCUAUCCGGAUGUGUUGUCCGGAUCAUUGACUAAAGUGAGCAAGCCUUGCUACGUCAUUCGGACAGCUUGCCACAUACCAUGUUCCGUCGCCAUCUGAUGGUGUGUCCGAACGCCUUGUCCGGACAUCUUUUGCUCCUUGCAUUCCGGAUUUGCUUAUGACAAAGGACUUCAAAGCUUCGGUUCUUCAUGUUUCUGAGCUUUCCAUUGCUUUGCCAUGGAUUCCAAAGAACUCUCCUUAAUCACGGAUUGCUUUGGUGAUCAAAAAGUUAUCAAAACACAAAAACUUAACAUAGUUUGAUUAGAAUUGAUUGCAAGGGUUCUUAAUAUGUUAAUUGGGUUAAAAGGUGAUAACUACUACUCAAAAGUGUUUAUAAGAAUUAAUUACAAGCUAUGAAAUAACACUUUUUGAGUAGUAAUCAGGAUACAUCCUAGUUUUUCAUGGAAUUGAUAGUGGGUUGUUGUGCAUGAAUGCCACCAUUUCAACUAUGCUGUUGUUAUUUUUAAAAAAAAUAUGGAUUAUGCGCGAGUGGCAAUUCUCCACUAUGGAAAGUGGAUUGCUCCUUCAACCCAUGCAUGGCUACGUAUUCCUAUGUCUUUCUACUUGUGUUUGAUCCUCCAAAAAAAAUUUCGGUUUAGUGCUAGUAGAUUUUAAGUGGUGGAUCCCCAUUUUUUGAAAAUGAAGUGGCAGCCUCCCAUUUCAAGACAAAAUGGUAGCCUGCCUUUAAUCUUUGGAGAAAAAUCUGUGCAUGACCUUUUUUUUUCCCAAAAAAUCCGUGCAUGGUGUCCUUUAAUAUUUGGAGAAAAAUCUAUGUUGGAUCUUUUCUUUUCUAGAAACAUUUGUGUGGUCUUUUUUGUUAGCCCAAGGGUUCUUCUAAUCAAGUUUUGAUGAUAACAAACCAUGGUUAAGUGACUAAUUGGUUUAAUGAUUAAGAAUCUCAAACAUAAAAUCGAAAAUUCAUCAAAGGACCAAAUGGAUACAAGAUCGAGACGCUUGGAAGACUUGUAAUCAUAGGAAACUAAUGUAAGAUGAAUGCAUGAGUGCACUUAGGAUUUUCACACGUUUCAUGCAACUUAGAAAACCCAGUUUAUUCUUUAAAACUUCAUCCCAGUUUAUUCUUUUUAUGGUUGUGUGUGCUUUCCUUGAUACGUGGCUUAUUUAUUAAGGAUACAUCCCAGUUUUUCAUGGAAUUGACAGUGGGUUGUUGUGUGUGAAUGCCACCAUUUCAACUGUGCUGUUGUUAUUUAAAAAAAAAAAAAAUGGAUUGUGCGCGAGUGGCAAUUCUCCACUAUGGAAAGUGGAUUGCUCCUUCAACCCAUGCAUGGCUACGUAUUCCUAUGUCUUUCUGCUUGUGUGUGAUCCUCCAAAAAAAAUUUUGGUUUAGUGCUAGUAGAUUUUAAGUGGUGGAUCCCCUUUUUUUGAAAACUAAGUGGCAGCCUCCCAUUUCAAAACGAAGUGGUAGCCUGCCUUUAGUCUUUGGAGAAAAAUCUGUGCAUGACUUUUUUUUUCCCAAAAAAUCCAUGCAUGGUGUCCUUUAAUAUUUGGAGAAAAAUCUAUGUGGGAUCUUUUAUUUUCUAGAAAAAUUUGUGUGGUCUUUUUUGUUAGCCCAAGGGUUCUCCUAAUCAGGUUUUGAUGAUAACAAAUCAUGGUUAAGUGACUAAUUGGUUUAAUGAUUAAGAAUCUCAAACAUAAACUCGAAAAUUCAUCAAAUGACCAAAUGGAUACAAGAUCGAGACGCUUGGAAGACUUGUGAUCAUAGGAAACUAAUGUAAGAUGAAUGCAUGAGUGCACUUAGGAUUUUCACACGUUUCAUGCAAUUUAGAAAACCCAGUUUAUUCUUUAAAACUUCAAUUUCAUUAAAACCCGAGUUUUUAACUAAUGUACCUUAGGCAAAAUGUUUUAUAAUUGGCUUAAUAAUUCACCUAAAUACAUUUUCUAAGUGUUAGAAAAGAAAGGAAUUAAAAAAAGGUUUUCGGGGCAAAAAAGGCUCAACCGGUCGAGGCUAUGGUCAACCGGCUCAACCGGUUGAGGAACCAAUCGAUCGGUUGUGCUUGUCCGAUCGAAGACCAAUCGAGGGAUGCCAAAAAAUUUCUCUCUCUCCUAGUGGCCUUCUCUUCCCGGUCGAGGUUCGGUCUAGGCAACGGUAACAUGUCAAGCAUUAAAUGCUCCGACGACUAGUGAAUCGGUCGACCCCUAGCCCGAUCGGACGAGGUUGCCUUUUGCUGUUUUUGACUCCCGAGCUUAGAAACCUAUAAAUUGAGAGCUCCACUUCAUUUAUUGAUAAAAGAGAACACUUGCAUUCAAUAGUCUACCUACCUUUUCUUGAUCAAAAAGCUCUCAUUUCCUUCAUAGUGCAUUAAAUCAUCACUUGCAUAUCCUUUAGUGCACUAUUGUGUGUCAUCCUAGCUUUGUUUUGUAUUUGAGCUAUCCUUAAGCUAGGUUGAGGGAUUAUUUCUUAUAAAAAUCUGAGUGUUAAAGCCUUCAAGAGAUUUGAAUCUUGAAGAGAUUGUGUAAGAGCCCAUUGGAGCCGGAGUCCAAGUGUAAGAAGAUUGGAAGCUUGGUUGAAGCUUCAAGUUAGUGGAACCCUCACUCGGUUAGGAGGUUGAGGAGAGUGGACGUAGGUAAGGAAGUGUCGAACCAUUAUAAACCCGAGUUUGAAUUCUCUAACUCUAUCUCUUUAUUUUGCUUAUAUUGUGUUUGAAUUUGUUGUGAUUGAAAAGAUUUUAAAAACCUAAUUCACCCUCCCCCCUUUUGGGUUUUUUUUUCUUAAUUAAGCAUAACCUUUGUUUUCUAAUUUUCUUUUUAGGAAAAUCCAUGCGUGGUAUGUCCAAACUCUCCAAGUGGCAGUCUGCCUUCUUCUAAAAAAUUUGUUUCUAUUUCUUUAUUCGACUACCUUCCAUGUCUUCCUAAUGAGUGCUUGUGCUCAAUGGUCAAUCCCUGGUGGUUGCCUCCUUUUCCCAUAUAUACGUGUUGCAAAAUCAACAUCCCACUAUAUGUGGGUUGCCUCUAUGGCAAGUUCACAUUUCCCACAUGAAACCUAUGAGUUUCCACCAAAAAUUGCCAUGAAAAAGUCUUUAUAUGCAUCUCAUGCAAUAAAAAGUCAAGCCAAUACUCAUCUUAUCUCGAAAAAUAAGUAACCAAAAUCAAGAUCAUGCCUAAGUGAACUAUGCCAAAAGAAGUGUCCAAGUGACCUAUUAUGAAAAAAGUGCCUAAGUGACCUAAGGUGAAUGUGUGUAAGCUGGAAGGUGUCUAGGAUGUUUAGGACAAUGCCUAAGCCUAAAAUAGGGUUGCCAAGGGUCACAAUGGGGUUAGAUAAAUCUCUCAAUCAGAGUCUCCAAGGUGGCUCAUAAAAGAUAAGCUACACGAGUAAUGAUGGGCCACCAGGGAAUUAUUGUAAAGCACCAAACGAACACAUAAUAGGACAUGUGUUAGAAUGAAAAAAUGGAGGGUUUACAAGUGGUCUCAUGGAUGAGCUUGAUAAUUUAAAUGACUCACAUAAUGAACGUAUGUGAUGUUUCUCUCCAAUAACAAGCAAAACAUCACUAGCAAUAUGAUGAAUGUCUCCUAAAUCACUUGAAGUAGUCCUAGCAAAUCAAUUAGAAAAAUCACACAUAUUGCUCUAAUGUAAUAUUAUAUACAUCUGUCAAUGAAUGGGAGAACUAAUGACACAACCAUCAUGUUGAUAUCUCGAACCCUCUAAUCUCAUAUGUAGGUGGGAUCACACUUAGAAACUCAUAACACAGUAAUGACCAAUCUAAGUCAAAAUGUGUUGGUGAUCGGAGGCCCAUGAAUAUGAAGUUCUAGGAUGAUAAUGACAUCUUAUAAAGUAAUGAUCAUCUCCUUAAUAGAUAGGUGAAAUGUGUGUGUCUUAGGACACCAUCUCUCAACAAGACUUGUGAUCAAUCCCCAGUCUAGUGUAACAUGCCUAUUAUGACAUCCAUCGUAAAAUCUAGACUAGAUAAUAUAAGGACAAAUGUGAGGGUUCAUCUCCCUUUCCCACAUAAAUUUAAAAAAUUAUUAUUGACAAGUUAAGACCAAACUAAGUUGCAAAAUAUAAAUAAGUCCAUUAGAUAACAAAUUUAUGUUUUCUCAUUUUCUCAUUUUUAAAGAGAUAUUAUGUGCUUCCAUGUACAUACAUGCUAAAGUCAAUUAUACGAGACUUAUAUCCAUCUUGUAGAACCAAAUCGAACCUAUCUAAUAGAUCCAGAUUAGAAGUAUGUCCUCUAUACUCCAUAUUUAUAACACAUUUAUAAAGAUAAAUGCUAAAAAAAUGUUAAAGAUAUAAAUUUAAUGAACCAUACUUUAUGAUUUUAAUUCUCAAUUAUUGUUCAUAUUUAUAAGAGAAAAGUUAAAAAAAUUGAUAGAGUUUUCCCUCUAUCAUGGACAUUAUCCCAAAUAAAAAUAAAUUGAUUAUGCAAAUUACAUUAAUAUUUGUAACCAAAUGAUCAAUAACUAUCUUGUAUCAAUUUAGUAAAUAAAUUUAAGUAUAUCUUUUCAUUUAUGACUAACAAAUAACUCAUACUUGUCCAAUAAAAGCCACACCUAAUUUCUAAAAUUUUGUCUUCACCUCAAGUGAGUGUUACAUUGAGAAAGAAAAAAUAUGAAAGAAAAAAUGAACACCUUUUUCUUUUAAUAAAAAAAGGCCAUAACGAAACAUUAAAUCUCACUGUUACACCUAUCUUCAAUGGAAACAUGAGGAUGUGAAUGGUGGCGGUGAUAUUCUUUGCUUGAAGCUCAUAAACAAAUAUUCCUUACUAAGCCUAUGCCAUUUAGUAUUUCAAUAGUGGACCCCCCCCCCCCCCCCCCCCCCCUCCUUGCAUUUCAGAUUUAGCAAACUUAGAACCAAAUAACAAAGUGCAUUUGAACCCAUAAAGAAGUAAUGAGACUCUCCUAUAUUGGCAAUAGAAGAAAUUUUUGGAGGUAUAGGAGAUUCACGGAUGAAGAAGUUGGGCCCCAAUUGAGAUAAGACCCAAGAAAAGAUGGGGUAGAGAGGGAUGGUUGGAAAUUGUAAAGUAAGAUUUUCAAAAUGUAGUUGAUGACUAAGAUUUUGACAAUUUAAAAAAGGUUUAAAAAUGUAGUUAGCAAUCGGGGUUUUGUAACAUUUAAAAAAUAAAAUAAAAUCUCAGGCCACAUGGUAGCCCAUGUGAUUCAGAAGCUUGAGAAUUAUUUUAUAAGAAGACUUAAUUUGUGAUUUUUUUAUAACUAUAUUAUUUUUUUUCUUAACACACGAAAAAAAUUAUGAAAUAAGACAAUUUUCCUAAGAAAGCAUGUAAGUGACUCUUGGUUAUUUUAUUUAACUUCUUCUAGUUUGGAGAGGAUUAAUACCUUUGCUUUUACUCACUUGCUUGGAUAUGUACACGUUGUUCAUGUCACUUUUCAUUUAAUUUUCUGAUUAAGGGAAUUGGAACCGUACGUAACUGUCUUUAUUCCCUCUGAAACUUGGACUUGGAGUUGGACUUUCAAUCUCAUCAGUCGUGUUUCCAUAAAAAAGAAGAUGGAUUAACCAAUUUUCCUAUGCCUACUAAUCAUACACAAAACUCCACUUCCAAAUAAAAAGGAAUGGGAUAUCACUUGUUAAUAGUGGCUAAAGACUAUUAAUAACCAUGCAAAGAAAUGUCACAUUUUUUGUUCUACGCAAAUUUUAUUCAUCAACUACUAGAACCAUUUCAUACAAUAGUAGCUUUUCGAUCCUUUGAUAAAUGGACACUUGAUGUGAUAACACCAACUACACCUAUAUAUUCAAGCAAUCAUGCGUAUAUAAUAGUGGAUAUGGAUUACUUCUCUAAAUGGGCAAAAGUUUUGUCAUUCAAGGAAAGUGAACGAGGAAACACAAGUUUACUUUCAUCGGAACUAAUAUUAUAUAUUGAUAUGACUUCCCAUUAUUACUUACGAUGGAAUAUGCUUCCAUAAAAUGGCCUAGAUGAACAAACUAUCCAAGAAGUUUGGGAUCAAAUAAUAUAUAUAUAGUUCAUGUGUGAUUCUUUGGUUGACAACCUUGUUAAGGGGUGAGUGAAGCACUUUGGGCAUACCACAUACUACAUGCUAGACUUCCACCCAAGCUACCCUAUAUUCCUUAUGAACAAAGUAGAAGUUGUCAUCUCUCUUGAAUACCAAAUCCUUUCACCUAAUAAUGCUAUCUAAAAAGGUCUUAAAAAGGAUAAAAAUGCGCAUAUUUGAAUUUUUGAAUUAGGAGUGCUACUUAAAAAGAAGCUAGAUAUACAAUAAUAGAAUGUUAUCAAGCAUAUCUCUUCAAAGUUUUUGACCAAAAAAUAUAUGAUUUCUCAUUUUAGGUAGGAGACUUAGUACUCACUAUUCAAAAACCAAUUAUCAUUACUCAUAAAAACUAAUAGAAAGUUUGGGCCAAAGUAGGAUGGACCUUAUAUUAUGCAACAAUUAUGCCUAUAAAAUUGUUGCAAAAGAGGUUUUAGAAUCAAAUCAAUGAAUGAAAAAUUAUUAAAGCAUUACUAUGCUUGAAGGCUAGUCAUUUUCCCUUAAAGUGCAAUAUUAAGUUGCAUAGUACUAUGUGGAUCCGCAUUUUUCACAUGCGUUCCCACUCAUUGUCGAGACUCACUUUUUAGAAGUGAAAAAUUAGUUUUAUUAAAGUCGAAGUUGCCACUGGGGAUUUGAACCCUAACAAAAGGUUCAAUUUAAGGAUAAAAAUAUCGAUAAUCACAUAUAUAUAUAUUGGUACUUUGAUUUUAUGAAUAUAUUGAAGAAAUAUGGACAAAUAUUUUGACACAAAAUAUGUACAAAAUAAAAAUUAUAUAAAAAGUAAAAAUAAAUAUUUUAAAAUUAUUUUUUUAAAUAUAUAUAUAUAUAAUUUGACAUAUUUGAUAAUAAUAUAUAAGGGUCUCCAAAAAGCCCGUGGCCCGCUUUAGGCCCGGUCCGACCCGACAGGCUAAAGCCCGGCCCAAGCCCGCCGGGCCCAAGCUCGGCCCGAGCCCGUUUAUGGGUGGGCCGGGCCGCGAGCCCGUAGGCCUGCUCCUUUAAAAAAAAACUACAAAAAUAAAAAGUAUUAAAAAAAAUAUUCAUUUCAAAAUUUUAUUCAUUGAAUGUAUAAUUACAUUUGAAAAUGUGGGAAAAGUUUACAUCACUACAAAAUAAAUACAUCCCAACUAGGUUGGCACCUAUUUAUUUGUCAAUCAUCUGUAUUUUUCAACCACAAAAAAUAAAAAUAAAAAUAUAAUAUACAUUUAGUCAUUAUUUUCUGGCGGUGAUGGCGAACUAUCAUGCAUCCAUGAAGAUCUUGAUAAUUUUAAAGAUUCCAUAUCGGUAAGCAUCUUUGUUUCUCGAAUGGAAUCAUACAUCCUUUUAUCUGCUAUUUCCCAAUCUUUCACACAUAUCCCUGCUUUAAUAACAUCUGACGCUAAGUUGCAUCGUUUUUUACUAACUACUCUUCCACCUGCACUAAAAGCAGCUUCUGAUGCAACUGUACUCACAGGAACUGUUAGUACAUCACGAGCAAUUAUAGAAAGCACAGGAUAUUUGUGUUGAUGUGAUUUCCACCAUAUUAAAAUAUUAAAAUCUUCUUGAUCUUCAAAUGAAAUUAUAUCAGUAUUAAGAUAUUUAUCUAAAUCAGAUGUAUUAUUUGGAGAAUUAUUUGUUGUCUUUUUUCGACUUUUCAACAUUUCUAGAGCUCCUUUAUAAAAAGAUGAGGAGUUUGUAGAUGUAGGUGGUAAUUUAAUAGUAUUAAUAUCAUUACCAUAUUUUUCUUUAUAAUAGUUAUAUAAAUUAUAUAAUAAUGAAUUUAUUUCAUUUUUAAUUUCUUCAAUUUUUAUUUGGUCAUUAAAAUAAAUAAUUGUUAACCAUUCAUCCAAAGCUUCAAAUUUCAAUCUAGGGUCCACAAUUAAAGCAAUAUAAAAAAUUAAAGGUAUUUCUCCCCAAUAUUUUCUAAAUUUUUAUAUCAUUACAAAUAUUGUAUCAUUAAAUAUUUCAAAACUUAAAUAUUUUUGAAGUACAAUAAAAAUAUUAGUUAUUUGCGUAAUAACUCGAUUUGAAGUUGGAUAAUAUACACCACAAAAAAUGUUUGUUGAAGUAUCAAAAAUUUCAAAAAGAUCUCUUAAAACAUCCGCAAUAUGCCAAUCAUAAUCAUUUAAUGCAUAAAUAUCUGCUUCAUAAUCAUUGUUAAUUAAUUGUAUUUCAUAUAAUUCGACUACUUUUCUAUAUUUUGUAAUAUUUUCUAAAAGUUUAUAUGUGGAAUUCCAUCUAAUAGCCAUAUCCAAAUUUAUAUUUUUUCUUUUCAUAUUUAACAUUUUGCAACAAUCAAAAAAUAAUUCAUGUUUUGCUUGAAAACUAUUAAUACUAUAUGCAAUGCCUCUAAUUUUUUUCCAAUGUACUAUCAACAUUUUUUAAUCCAUCCUUUACAAUUAAAUUUAAAAUAUGUGCACAACAACGCACAUGAAAUAUUUUAGCAUGAUCUUCUUUUACUUGCCAAUAUCGUUUUAGUCUAUGUAUUGCUGCAUCAUUAUUAGCAGCAUUAUCUAAUGUUAUUGUCAAUAUUUUAUCACGAAUGCCUAAAUCUAUAAUUUCAUCAUUUAUUAAAGAUGCUAUAUUUUUACCACUAUGUGGAGUAUUUAUUAAUUUAAAUAAAAUUAUUCUUUUAUUUAAUUUCCAUUCAUUAUCAAUGUAGUGAACAAUUAUAUAUAAAAAACCAGUAUGAGUUAAAGAUGUCCAAAUGUCAGAUGUUAAACGAAUAUUUCCUUCAAAAUUUGCAAAAUUUUUUUUUAAAAUUUCUUUUUGUGUAUAAAUUUUUUUCAUAAUAUCUCUUUUAACUGUAUUUCCAGAUCAACCUUUAAAUUGAGGAUUAAUACCUCGUUGAAUUGUUCUUGCAAAAUCAUGAGUUUCCAUCAUGUUGAAAGGUUGUUCUGCUCUUAUUAUAUAAUCAAUCAUUUCUUCACAACAGUUAGAUUCAUCAUAAGAAAAUGUUUUUAAAUUUCCACUUUCAUUUUUACUUAAUUGCAUAUAAUUUCUAAUAUCUACAUUAUUUUUAGUUUUACAAUUUUCAUGAUGUCUUUUUAAAUGACUUGUAUCUGCAUUUGAGCCACCAGUAAGAAAUUUAUUACAAAUUUUACAUUUUGCUUUUAUUUUUUUUUUAUUAUUUUCUAAAAUUAUUUCUAUUCUAUCAAAAAAAUUCCAUAUAUUUAAAGUAAAUUUUUUGUUUGAUGAUAUUUCAUCACAUGGACUAGACGAAGAAGCACUUGUCAUAUUAUAAUUAUUGAUAAAAUAUUAUGCCAAAAAUAAUAAAGUAAUAAAUAUAAAAAAAAAUGUAACAAAAAAAAUAAAGUAGUAGGGGUGAAGUAUGUUACUCAAUUAGAGAACCUAUGCAGAAAUUCCUAGCAAAUUUGAACUCUUGGAGCCACCAAUGCUUGUUUUGCACCAUCAACAAUAUUGUAUAAUUUGAGGGAAAAAUAAAAGAAUUUAAAAUAUUGUAGAAUGUGAGAGAAAUAGAGAGAAUUUGAUGAAAAAAUGAAAAGGAAGAAAAUGUAUUUAUAGGAAGGUUAAAAAUAAUAAUAAUAAUAAUAAUAAUAAUAAUAAUAAUAAUAAUAAUAAUAAUAAUAAUAAUAAUUGGCCAUGUGACCGUUGGAGGCUUAGCUCCAACGGUCACAUGGGCUGGAGCUAGGCUCCAACAGUCACAUGACCGUUGGAGCCUUUAAUUUUUUUUUUUAAAAUAAUAUACUUUAUUUUUAUAUAUAUAUAACUAACUCAAUUAAUAAACAUAAAAAGAAUAUAGUUCAGUUGGUUAGAACCUUGAAGUUUAAACAUGAGGGGAGGGGUUUGAAUCCCUCCCUCUCCCUUAGGGGCUUUUUUAAAAGCCAUUUUGGCUUAUUUCAAAAAGCCUGUCGGCCCGACCCGCCCUGCAGCCCGCGGGCCUAGCAUUUUAGCAUGGCCUGGUCUGUUGACUAGUCAAAUGGCUCAUAGGCUCGGCCCGAACUGGGCCGCGGGCCUCUUAUUUACGGACCGGCCCGACCCGGCCCGCCCGUUGGAGACCCUUGAUAAUAUCUUCUAUAUUAAGUUACAUUAUAGUUUAUUUUACAAUAUUAUUAUGAUAAUAUGUCUAAUUUUAAAAUAUAUUUAAUAUUAAAAUUAUGAUCUAUUUUAAUUUAAAUGUAUUCAAUGAUAUCAAAUAAAUAAUAAUAUAUGUAUAAUUCUUUUAUUAUUUAUAUUUAUUAUUUUUAAUAAAUAUAUAGAUUAUAUAAAAAAGACCGGAUAUAUCUUUUCAAAUUUUGUAUCGCUCUCCAAGGAUAUUAGAUGUAUGGGAAUUUGUAUUGCUAUCUACGGAUACGUUGAUAUAUGGGUGAUUUAUCAGGAUAAUUAGAAAUUCUAAUUAUGUAAGCAGGUACGGAGUUCUGUGUCGGUGCGAUCUUGUCGACAACAGCUCCAAAUUGUGCAUCUUGCUCAUAGAGAGUAGCGGAAUGCACCAAUCGUAGGCUCAGAGUACCACUGAGUCGUCUGGCAGAGACCCAACUGAAGGUGCCUGUGUUGUUCCUGAUCUGAUCAGGCUUCAAACUACAAGGUGGAAUACUGGUUCCCCUAUAUCAGAAGCUGGAGAUACCCACCCCAUAUGCUCGUCUGGAUGUGCUCCUACCCUUUGAAGCCUUCUUCCGAGUCAAGUCCGAAUUGAUAAGGCUAGUGAGUUCCCAACCAACUGUACUCAGCAUGCUGCCAGGUGGAGACCCUCCAUAUUUGAUGGCUUCCUAAUAUUAAAAUGCUGACCACUGGUCUUCAUGUUCCACAGGCUUAAUUGUGUCCUUUGCUGAAAGAAUGGAUAGUGAUCCAUUUUAACACAUGAUUCACGCCGUCUUUGCCAUUCUUCAUGGUCUAGCCCUUUUAUAUAUAUGCUUCCUGAACUGUUGCUAUUAAUAAAAUGUGGUAUCUAUCCCGUACACCUUCCUGAUGGCCAGCGAAUGCAGAAGCUACAGAAACGGUUCCAUCUUUUGCUUCCGCCACUUUGGCAUCCUCCAUGAUGAGAUCGAAGGUGAAUAAUCAUAUUCUGGGGAUUUAUGUCCUGGAUAUUCUCAGUAAUGCCCAAUUUCCUGGUGCCGGCCUCAUUUCCAUGGGAACUGAUGGAUAACUUAAGGCUUCUACCAUCUGCGUGGUUCGCUUCUAACACAGGAAACUUCACGGCUAAAAGCAAGAUACCAAGAACAUCAAGGCUGUGACAAAAAUUAGUAUUUUUAACUUGUAGGAAUUUGAAAGGCAACCAACCAUCUAGCUCUGUUCUUAAAGCUCCCAUAGGAGGAUCAGAGGCUGGAUUGCUCAAGAUGAACUCAUCCAUUGUUGCACUUAAAAAGAAUUGGCAUGAAUUGUGGCCGCUCUAAUAGGUUCCCUAAACCAUCAUCCAAGUGGGCUUGCGGAAGGUAGCGAGUUUAAAACACCUAGGGCGAUGAACAGUGGACUGUGAUGCUCACAAAAGAGAAAAGGAAGAAUUCAAUAAUUCCUAAGAAUCCAUUUGCCUGUCAUCCAAAUUUUUAUAUUCUCUUCAGUCUGACGCGUUAUGCCAUAUAUUAAAAAUAGCGGCUUCUUCCAAGCCGAGACAGACUGUGCAAAGUUCGCAAGGCCAAUCAUCACCAUAAUCUGAAGUUGGCCUCCUCAAUCGCAGCUUGUAUCCGAAUGCUCACUUCACGGGAUGGAUUGUAAUGAAAACUAAUCUCAGUCCCAGCUAUGGCAGCAUCCUCACUUGACAGCAUUUUCUGCAUAUUCUAGAACAAAGCAAUAAACCCUCAAAGGCUCCUUCGGAUCAGAGUUAGAAGACUGUCCCUCAGGAACGUGAACACUAUGGUGGUUCUGAUAAGCAGUGAUAUUGCAUUAGAGCCUUUUGGAACAAGAGGAUCUUUUCAGGUGGAAACUGUAAACUGCUUCAUGUUGGGCUGCAACCUUUUCUUCAAGCAAUACUUUCUUUCUGUAUCACGACUUAUGUUGCUUCCGGAGCCAUCCCGUGUGGACUGCCCUUCAGUGAAAGAAUAUGUGUGUUGACAUGUUGGAUUGUAAUCUUUGUUCCACUCUAAUGGCUUUUGGUCCUCCUCUUUCUCUUUAUGACAGAGAACCAUUUAGUGAUCCAUCUCUAUAUUGUAGCAUUGCUGGUGCUUUGCAAUACUACACUCUCACCAAGCAUAACAUCUAUUUUUCCGUGACCAAAGUAUGUCGGUUUAUGCAUGCGCAAACUCUUAUUCAUUGGCAAGUUGUCAAGCGUAUCUCAUGAUUUCCCAAAGCCACAAGUUCUUAUGGUCUUUCUGUUCAAGCUUACAAUGAUCUAUCUUUUCUUGGUUAUACUGAUGUCGAUUGGGCUAGUUGCCCUGAUAACAAGCACAAUACUAGUGGGUACAACACUUUUCCUGGUCCUAAUCUCAUUUCAUGGGCAUUUUCAAAGCAGAAGGUUGUGUCUCACUCCAAUAACGAAUCUGAAUAUAGGGGACUCACUAAUUAAUGUUGUUGCCAAGGUCACUUGGAUUGAAUCUGUCUUACGUGAGUUGCGUGUUUCUCUACCCCAACCACCAAUUUUGUUGUGUGACAACAUUAGUGCUACACACUUGGACAAACCAUGUUGAAAUACACUAUCAUUUUAUCCAUGAAAGGCUUAUGCAUCACACACUCAAAAUUCAAUACACCUCUUCUAUAGACCAACUAGUCAAUGCUAUGACCAAAGCUCUUCCUUCAUCUCACUUGUACAAUCUUCAGUGCAAGCUGAUUGUUCUUCCCAAACCACUCAACUUGAGGGGAGAUGUUAAGCCAAUUUAAUAAAUUGAUUUCUUUUGGUUAAUUUGUUAGAAUCAUUUUUAUUAGAGGUUUGUUUGUACAAUUACAUCCAUUUAUCAGGAGAGUACACGUGUACAACUCCUCUUUUAAUCUCACCAUUGUAUAUAUAUGAUACACGACCUUACUCAGAAUUGCAUAACAUUUCCUCUGCUCAUUCCUUUUCUUCUUUGAAUUUUCCCUUACCUCACUGAUUUUGAUUUAUACCUGGUGUUUUCACCUUUGGUCUCUACCUUUCUAGCCAGUUUUCUAAUUAAUCCGUAUAUGGUAUACCUGUCAACUAAUGAGGAGAAAGAGAAAAGGGGAUUGCUGUUCCACCAGCUACAUAUAAUAAUUAAUUACAAUCAUGGUAAUGGAUCCUGAAAUCCAUCCUUUGUGGAUUUUGUACGGAAUAUUGUUGUUAUGUAUGUGGGCUCACUUAGAUGUAUAUUGCUAGCCUGUCUGGGAAAUGUGAUUGCAGGUCCAGAUUAUGAUGUUGAUAUUAGUGGGAUAAGCAAGAGAUGCAGUUAACACGUAUGUGAUGGACUUGAGUAACUUUUCCAUUUCAGUCCAUUUUUUAAGAUUAUGCUUAGUCUUAUUACAAGGAAAGACCAUAAGAAUCAUGAGUCAUUGGCAAGGUAAUAUCAUUCCCUCUUUACAGGCUUCUUCACCUUUUGGUUUUUUUAAUAUCCAUCAAGAUCUUUUAAUUGGAGGACAAUUACAAGUAUAUAUAUAUGUAUUAAAAGGGGAAAAUAUUAAAACAGGAAAUUUUAGGGAAAAUAUAAUAAUUAUUUCUUCCUUCUUUCCCAUAUAGAACUACACAAAAUAAAACUUUAAUAAUUUUUUCUUAUCUUUUUUAUUAUUAUUUUUUCUUAGAAACAUCCGUGGUCUCACAAGCUUGUAAUCCUAGAUUGUUAGGCUCCUUUAACAGUGCCCCAACAUCGUGGUCCAAUGACAAGCUUCCACGCCUUAAAAUCAGAAAAUGCCAUUAAACUUUAUCAGACAUUACAGUUCAAGACAAAGCUUUCAUUUGCUUAAUGUGAUAAUGAAAUUGUUAAUUUCAUUUCGUGGGCAUCUAAAUUUGGACGAGCAAGACCUCUGAAUUCCCUGUUUUUAUCACCAGCAGAGGAGAUAAAAUCUUAAUGGUGAGAAUCUCCACGUGAAAUUUAUGUGUACUGUCAACAUAUUUUUGUUUAUAUAGUCCAGUAGCUGCAGGAAGUCUAGAUUAUAUAGGUAGCAGUAGCACUAUUUAUAGCACUCGAUAUUCGCUGUAUGAAUACAUUAAACCUUGUUUUCAAUACGCAUCACAAGCAAGUACUAGAUACUACAAGGAGUGACAGUCGCAUCAACAUUUCUUGAUAAUAGCAGUGACUGAUUUAUACACAGAACAGUACUGUACACGUACCAGUCACCAGAGAUAGGAUCUUAUUCCUACAUACGACUCUUAUUGAUCGAAGUCACUCAGUUGGGGUAGCCUGGAGUUGGAGGUUUGUGUGGUGGCUUCUUCUUUGGAGGAGGCUUUAUCUUUGGAGGCAUCAUCUUUGGAGGCAUCUUGUGUGAGUCUUCUUCAGCAUUCUCUACAGGAGGAUGGCCAGGCUUAUGACCCUUAGGUGGUUUGCCAACUGGGAUUGGUGGCUUGUGUCCUGAGAGUGGCUCCUCUUCUUCGGGAGGUUUGCCAACUGACGUUGGUGGCCCGUGUCCUGGGGGUGGCUUGUGUUUUGGGGGUGGUUUCACUCCACCGGGAGGUUUACCAAUUGGUGUUGGUGGUUUGUGCUCAAUCGGUGGCCUCUCAACUGGGGGGCGCUUGGGGUAAUCAGCGAGUGAAGAAGUGGUGAGAACCACCACUCCAAGCAACAACACUAGCAAGUAUGUGGAAGACAUCUUUGAGUUUGGCUCAGAUGGUGUAGAACUAGAAUCCUGGGUGGCCUUUUAUAUUAGUUGGGCCCUAUGCCCGAACGACAAGUGUCAUGGUGACACAUAAAGUGAUGGGGUCGAUUUGGGCCUACCGGAUUUGAAAACUUGGACAAUUCGAGAAGCGUCUCCUGACUCCGGGUUGUAAAGUGAAAGAUUAGGUAUCGACCAUUGAAGUAUGAUCACAACUUUUGGCCUUUGGCUCUCUCUACUGCCGUAUAGCUUUUUUCCUUUGGAUAUUUUUCUUAGCUAGACACAAUUAUUGAGCAGUCUAAUCUCGAAAUGGGAUUAGUAUAGCUUUAAGCAAAUUUAUUAUAGUUAGUGGAGGACUUUUAAGAGUGCAGACGACAUUUAACACAUGCAUGCAGUAGUAUAGGGGACAUAACACUAUUCUUUUUCCAAAGAUUCACAUGAUUUUUAUAUUAUAGUAUUGGCACAUUGUAUGUAGCUGGUUUUGUGGUUAAAAUUCCAUAUGUAGACACUGGCGUUUCUCCAUUUCUCACAAUUGAUGUUUACCUCCACGAUUACUAGAUUAGAUAUACCAAACAAUAACACAUUGUAUAAUCUAUCCGCCCUUCAAAAUCUACUGUAUGAUGAAAUGUUUCAUGUGUGUGUGAAGUGUUAGAAAUGCACUAUAGGCAACAUCAUCUUCUUUUGUCUAGGCUUGGGCCUCAAAUUAUACUCCCAUGCCAUGAUAAAUUUUCAUGUGCAUUCUCUAAAGAAGAGUGUCUUGAAUGUGCCAAAUCAUUUUGAUUGAUUUUAUGAUGUUAAUUGCUCCGCAUAUGGAUGGGUAUGUGCUUUAUUUGCUUAUUCAAUCCACAAUUACCUUGAACUGAAGUCCUAUUGGAGCUCUAUUAUUUUAGCAACGUCCUGUCAAAUAGGCUGCUAACUUGGGGUGGUAUGGACCCAAUGAUCCAUCUUAAUCUUGGGUUGAUUUUGUCUGACUCUAUCUAUCUCAGAGAGAACCAGGAUCACCAGUGCUGGUCUGCUUAAAGAAGACUCAGUACUGGAUUAAUAUUGGUUUGGGUCAAUAGCUUAUAAUGCAUUGAAUGCAGAAUAAACAAGAUCAAUGAAACCCAAAACACACUGCCCACACAACUUCACUCUGGUGUCUGUUAUUCAUCAAUUCUAUUCCCACAUGAACUGGUUCAAGUUUAAGAAAAUGACAACGGAUCCACUGUAUUAACUUGGUUUUGCUUGGUUUUGAGCUAGUUGCCAAACCAGCCAUGAGUUUUACCUCUAAUGUCAAUGAACAAACCCCAAAUGAACAACUGCAACAGCUUAAAGAGAAGGAAUGGAGAUGAAAAUCCCUGUUUCUUCUCAUUCUGGGGACAAAUUAGAACAUAACUACAAAGGUUCUAUUAAUUGACUUACUCUACCAUGAAUUAUGGUUCUUUGGUUUUCCAAAUUUAAAUUGUACAUGAGAUUAUUUUUUUCCUUUAUAUAUAAACAUAUUAAGGUUUUCUUAUUUCGUGGGCAAAUGCGCUAAGGAUGAAAGUCAUUUCAUUUGGCUGCAACAGCAUCUUAUAAUCAACAUGCAUAAGCAGCAGUUUUAAUUGAUCGAUUGAACACCGACUCACAAGAAUAGAUAGAAUGGUACAAGACAGCUCUUAUUAAUUUAUACUCGUUACUCAUUUUAUGUAGCCCCAUUAAGAUGGCUGGCUGGACCACCGAGGUCUGGGGGUGGUGUUGCUUGUGUGAUGCAGCGGGCCGGGCAGACACUUCUCUAGUUGCUUCUAUUUGGAGUUAGAGGAUCAGUCUCUGCCAACCUUGAGGACUCUCUACCUCAGAGGGUCCAGGUGGUGGACUCUGGUGUCGGUAGCUUUGAACUCUCAGUAGACUAGUGUGUCUUAAUCAGUCACUGCCAGAGGCUGGCGUAGGCAGUGACGAUAAGGUGAGACAAAUUACCGAAUAGUCAAUAUCGACUGCACUUGACCAUUAUAGAUUUGUUCUGACAAAAGUGAGAAAAGGGAGAAAAUCGGAUGUUGACCUUUAUAGAAAAAGAUAAGAUUUACUGCAACACAGAGCACUGAUUUGUUACUUGGAAACCAAGUUAUGCUAUUAGCUAGCCUCCAUUAGCAGCAGGGUACCUUGCUGCCUGAUCCUAAUCUGAGUUCCCAAGGUUUCAAUCUUCGUUUGUUAACGCUUCAGGAUUUGGAUAUUUCAGCUUCGUUUCUCCAUUUAGCCAACGCUGCCUGGUUUGGAUUUCAAUCCUCAUCUGGAACAUUCUUUUUUCGGUCUGAUUCAGGAAGUGUUUGGUGAUAGUUGAUUAAAAUUAAACAGUACUAUCAUACAAAUAAAGCUGAUCUAAUUUUGGUGGGCAAUAUACCAACUCAUUUAUUCUUGAAAACACCAUGGGGAAUUGGAGGUCCAUCCGAAGUACUAUUUGAUGGGACUCACAAAAAGAACAGGUGCACAUUUAUGAGAUCCGUGGAAGAGAUAACUAUGACAGCUAUGCAUGUACAACAGAUUUAUGUCGAGUUCACCUCGUAGAUAUUUUGUUUUCAGUGUCGGUGGACCCCAAAAUGGAAAUCGGAAAUUAAGGUUAUAUUUAUUUUUUUAUUUAAUUUUAAAUAGAAUUUUAAUUUUUAAUAAUAUUAAGUAUUAAAUUAUUUUUUUAAGGGUAUUUUAUUUUUAUUAAGUAUUAAAAAGUAAAAAAAAUUAAUAUGUUGCUUUUUUAUUUUAAAAAAAUUAUAUAUUUUAAUUUUUUCUAUUUACUAAAAAGUUUAUAAUAAAUUAUAAAAAAAUAAAAAAAUAAAAAACUUAAAUUCUGAAAAUAAAUUAUUUUUAAUAAAAAAAUCCAAAAAAGCAAACACCACCUAAAUUUGAGAUGACUCAAAAUUUUAUAUUUUUUUUCACCUAAAUUAUAUUCAUAAAUUUAAAAUUAAAAAAUUAGGAAGUUGAAUUUUAUUUUGGAUAAUUGGAAACUACAAGAAAUCAAUAAAAAUAUUUGGAAAAAAAAGAAAAAGAAAAACUAUCUAUAUAUUCACCCCCUUCUAAGAAACAUAACUUUAGUUUUUAACUAUUUUUUAAAAUAAUUUUUGAAAAAUGUUAUAUAAUAUUUUAUAAAACAAAAAAUCUGUUUGACAAUUUGAUAUGUCUUUAACUUAUUUUUAAUAUUUAUAUAUAUAUAUUUUAAAAAUAAUUUUAUAUUUAGAACUUUAUCUUUAAUUAUUAUAUAUAUUUAUAUAAUUAUUUUUUUUAAAACAACUCUUAAAAAAUAAGUGAAAGUAAUUGAAAACAACUCAAAGAUAUUUGAUGAAAACACUCUAAUUUGUAUUUUUGAGAAUAAAAAAAUAAAUAAAUAAAUUUCUAGUUAUCAAAUGUAUUUUUUAAUUCUUUUAUUCUAAAAAAUAGAAAAUCGUUUUUGAAAAUAAUUAUUAAACAACAUUCUUAAAAAUUCACUCGUUACAAUCUAGAUUUAAUGCAAGAAUGAUUGAAGGAGUCCUCCAAUAGAACCCAAAGUUAUAAACAUGAACAAGAAGCCCUAGAAACACCAAAGAUCUCAUAUGGUAUAUAUAUGAGCUUGAUUGAGAACUGUUUUAAAUUCAGUUUUUUUUUUUUUUUUUUUUUUUUGUUUUCAAAGUCAAAACAAGUUUACUUUUAAUUUUUACUUCUUUUUUUUAAUUUUAUAAAUAACAGUUUUUUAAUAAUUUAUUUUGAAAACAUGAUUAUUUUUAAAACUUAUAAUGAAAAUAGGAAUUUUUUUUUUAAUAUCAUGGUUAUUUUCCCUUCUUUUAAGGAGGGCUAUUUUAAAAAUAAAUUUACAAAUAUGAAAAAUGAUUCAAACUAAAGCAGUACAAAUAAAAAACAUUUUUAAGAAAUAUUUAAAAAUAGAGAAAAUUAUUUGAGAACAUUUGAAGUCCUUAAAUAGACUUUUGUUUUAGAAAAGGCAAGAUAAUUAUUUUUGAAAAUUGUUUUCAUAAUGAUAUGCAAAAACCUACGUAAAAACCAUAAUUAUAAUCGGCCACAUAUCAAAUCUACUAAAUAUGAAAAGUAAGUACAUAAUUAUAUUUGACUUAGAUGCAAGGAGGAAAAUGUCGCGAUAUUAUCGCCGAAAUAUCGUGUGUCGAAGGGUAUCGACACGAUUUUUCUUGCAGAAAUAUCGGCCAGUCGAUUUUUCGGGAUAAAUCUCGAGAAAUCGGCAAUUUAUCGCGAUAUAUCGGCGAUUUUUCCUCGAUAUAUCUUCUGGUCAACGCGGGUCAACGGAGUCAACACGCUACAGUGAAAGUCAAAUGUGCUACAAUGUCCCCGCUACAAUCACCUCCCCAAACAAAUUGCCAAAUUGCUUCCGAGGGGAUUUGAACCAGCCUUCUUGCCAUUUGGGCUAACUCGCCCUUAUGAUAUAUAUUGCAUUAAACAUAUAUAUACUUAAAGUCCUUAUAUAAAGAAAAUGUUAAAAAAAUAUUUUAAAGAGCAAAUUAAUUAUAAUUAUUUUAUAAUUAAAAGCAAAAUUUUCUUUUAAUUAAUUACCAAAAAUAUAAAAAUUAUAUAAUUUUCUUCAUAAUGUUUUUAAUAUCAUUAAUAAUUAAUUAAAUAUUAAAAAAUUAUAUAUAUAUAUAUAUAUAUAUAUAUAUAUAUUAUAAUUUAUUUUAUAUUGUUUAAUACAAUUGAAUUAAAUGGAUCAUAUUUUAAUAUUAAUAUAUAUUUUAAAAUUAGACAUAUUGUAAUCAAAUAUCAUAAUAUUAUAUGUAAUUUAAUAAUAAAUGUACACUUAUAAAAUUCAUAUUUUUAUCGAUGCAUACAAUAUUAUUAUCAAAUAUGAUAAAUCAUGUUAUACAUAUAUCAAAAUUUUCAAUAAAAUAACUUUAAAAUGUCUAUUAUACUUCUAAUUAUAUUAUUAUGAGGUUUUCUUUACAUUUUCAUGAGUUUUAAACAAUUUUAAGCACCAAUAUUUUUUUCCAAAAUAUCCACCGAUAUAUCUCCGAUAUAUCCAAUAUAUCUCCGAUAUCUCCGAUAUAUCCGUAAAAUCGAAGUACCGAUAUAUCCGUGAUUACCGAUAUUUUCAUCAUUGCUUAGAUGCAACCUUCUUCCAAAUGACAUACUUUAGUCAAUACUUAUAUUUUUUCGUUUCACUUCUUUGAUACAACACCUCAUGGAUUUAUUGUUUAAUUUAUUUGUAAUUAUAAAACUAUUUUUCAUUUUUAAUAAGACUUGAAUUAAUUUAAUAAAUAUUAUAUAAUUUGAAUUUAUAAUUCUUUUUAUAAAAUCAAAGUAUAUUAAAAAAAAAACAAUUUAUCCGAAGAAAGUUUUUUAUUUUUUAUUUUUUAAAACCGAUUUUAAAAAUAACUAGCUAGACACCCUUAUUUUGAUAAAAUACGAAAUAAAAGUGUAAAAACAACAUGGCCAAAUAGGGGCUUAAAUUUUAUUUUUAAAACAUUUUUUUACACUAAAGUGCAUUUUAAAAACACCAUCAAAACCAACUACAAGUUAUGCUUCUUCCCGUAAUAGAAAUAUUUUAGGCCAAAAUAGAACCUCCCCAAAUAAAGACCCUAUACUAAACUCCUUUUCAUUUUAUUAAUACAAAAGUGGGGAAAAAAGGUCUAUGCUCACCUAAAAAACAUGAAUAUUGUGAAUUCACCAUUUCUAUAAGGAAGUUGAAAACUUCAAAAUUUUAUCAACAAAUUCUCUAAAAUCCUCAAAAUAUAUAGGGCCUGUUUCACAAAGUUUUUUAAAAUUUGUUUUUAUAAAUUGCUUUUAAAAUAUAGAAUAAAUAACAGUUUUUUAGAUUUUUUGAAAAAUAAGAGUGUUUGGUAAGAUGUUUUUUUUUUUUUUUUUUUUUUUAAGAAUUAAAUAAAAAAUAAAAAAAUUGUUUAGAUAAAAGAAUUUGUAUUGUUUUUAAAAACAAUGUCUUACUUUUAUGUUAUAAAAAUUUUAUUAAUUUAAUUUAUAAUAAUAUGAAAUGAAAUUCAAGUUAAGUCUUAUUAAAAAAUACAAAUUAAAUCUAUAAUUAUGCAUGAGUUAAAGAUAAAUAUAUAUUUUUUAAAACUAUAAAAUAAAUUUUCUAUUAUAGUGAAACAAAAAUUACUAUAAAAUAAAAAUAAUUUUAAUAUUCAUUUUUAAUACAAGUCAAAUAAGUACUUUAAUUAAUUUUUUUUAUCAUGAUUUCUUAUGUUUUUUUUUUUUUCUAGAAAUUAUUUUAAGUAAUAUAACUAAUUUUUUUUUUAAUGUUUUAUAAAAAUAAGGAUAUUUGGCAAGUUGUUUUUAUAAAAGGAUUUUAAAAAUAAAUGGAUUUUUUUUUUUUUUAAAAAAAGAACAAAAUGAUUUGUUUGAAUAAAUUGUUUUGAUUUUGUAAAAACAUUUUAAAUUCAAUUUAUAUAAUAUUAAUUAAUUAAAUUAAAUUGAAGUUUUAUUGAAAAUAAAAAUAAUUUUGUAAUUAAAAUUAGAUUAAAAAAUAUAUAGGUUUUAAUAAAUCGUAAAUAGUAAUAUUAUAAUAAAAUUAUAAAUUAUAUUUUUAACAUAAAAUAUACUAUUUAUUACAUAUUAAAAAAAAUAUUUUAUUAUAUUAAUAAUUUUAUGGUAUUAAUGAGUUUAUUAUUUAAGUUUUAAAUUAUUUUUAAAAAUUAAUAAAUUUGUUAACAAAUGCAAUGUACUAAAUGUGGUUUAAUUUGGAGUUAAUUUGUUUAGGGAAAAAAAUAAAAAAUAAAAAUCUUAUGUAAAAGAGAAAUAAUAGAGUGUGUGUGUUUUUUUUUAUUAUUUUUAAAAAUCAGUAAAAAGAACUUUUACUUAUUGCCUAAAAAUUAUUCUCUAUUUUAUUUUAUUUUUUAAAUCUAGAAAUAGAUAACAAUAAUAAAAAAAAUUAAAAAAGAAAAAUGUUUUUUAAAACUCAGACUUAUAAUUGCUUUUGUUUCUCAUUCGCACCCCUGGAUUCCUGGAUUCUAAACACAAAAUUAAGUUGAAUCGUCCAUCUAUCUUGUAAGCCAAGAAUUCACAUAGAAGAAAUAAUCGGAAUUUGAUUUGAUAUCAGAUUUAGAGUGGCUCACUACUCAUGCAUUGUCCCACAAUAGUAAUGCUUUGGGCCGAGAUAAACCCAUUUGUGGGCCCAAAUAAAACCCCUGGUUUGAAAACAUCGAUUUUACAGUGGCCCAAAAGAUUAUCUAUGAGGGGAAGAUAACUUGGAAGUCAAGCAAACACAUUUAUCGCUAACUUUUCUCUAAUUAUAAAAUUAUAACUUGGUCUUCUACACGUCUCACUUAAGAGGCGGAGCCACUUGGCACUACCUUUCCAUAUUGUAAAAGGAGAAGAAGCAGAAGGAGAAGAUUCUUAUGCCAUUCCACACACCAUGGCUAGUACUGCUAUGCUGCUUGGCCCGCCGGCUCUCCGCCAUCCUAAUUCUCCCGCCGGCACUGUCUUUGAAGAUGGGGUCAUUCUAACGGAUUCCCUGAUCGUCCGCACCAGUAAUCUGGAGCUUUCUGAAAAACCGCCACUGGAAUCCCUGGCGUAGUGCUCUGUCAGUGGGGAUAUUGCUAUGGAUUGUUUGGAUUCCCAAGCCCACAAUCUUCAUCUUCCCGGGAAACCGCCGAUGGGCUUAACGGAAAACAAGUCUCCGACCUUUUUGUCUUCCGGGAACCCGUGCUUGGACUUCUUCUUCCAUGUGGUUCCCGAUACGUCGUCUGAUGAUCUGAUCCGACGGUUUGAGUUGGCUUGGGAAUUCAAUCCGCUGACGACGUUAAAACUGAUAUGCAACUUGAGAGAGGUGAGAGGCACCGGAAAAUCUGACAAAGAGGGUUUCUACACGGCGGUUCUCUGGCUCCACGACCACCAUCCCAAAACCCUAGCCUGCAAUGCUAGGGUGUUGGCCAGCUUCGGUUAUUUCAAGGAUUUUCUCGAGAUUCUCUACCGGCUUCUGGAGGGCCCUAAAAUUCGAAGAAUCGAAAAGAAAGACUGGCUGGAUCGAAAAGGAAGGAAGAAAAAUUCCCGGAAAAGGAACUCAAUAUUCAAGCGAGAAAAUAGGCCUGGAGUUGAAUUUCCUGUAGAAGAGAAGGAUGUGGAGUAUAUGGUGGAAGAAUUUGUGGAUAAAGAAAAGGCUAGGGUACUGAGAAAGGAGAGAGAACUUGCUCUUGCCAAAAGAGCCCUGCACAAGUAUUCUACUGAUUCUAAUUAUCAGUUCUUACAUGAUCAGAUUUCAGAUUUAUUUGCUGAACUUCUGAAAUCUGAUAUUCAGUAUUUAAACUCCGGUGAGCUUUACAAGAUUAGUCUCGCAUCCAAAUGGUGUCCCACAAUUGAUUCUUCUUAUGAUAAAUCCACCUUGAUAUGUGAAAAUAUUGCUCGAAAGGUUUAUUCUCGCGAGGAAUAUAUAUCCAGAAUACCAAGGAAUUGAGGAGGCUCACUAUGUUAAUAGAGUCAGGGAUAGGUUGAGAAAACAAGUACUUGUUCCAUUACGUAAGGCCCUGGAGUUGCCAGAGGUUUUCAUGUGUUCGAACCAGUGGGGAUCACUUCCCUACAACCGUGUGGCUUCAGUGGCCAUGAAAUCAUACAAGAGCCUCUUCUCAAAACAUGAUACAGAGCGGUUUGGUGUGUAUCUUGAGAAAGUGCAAACUGGGAAGGCUAAGAUUGCAGCUGGUGCAUUACUUCCCCAUGAGAUUAUAGCUUCAUUGAAUGAGGAGGAUGGCGAGAAAGUUGCAGAGCUUCAGUGGGCGAGAAUGGUGGAAGAUUUAUCAAAGAAUGGGAGGCUCACAAAUUGCAGUGCGGUAUGUGACGUAUCAGGAAGUAUGAGUGGAACUCCAAUGAAGGUGUGUGUGGCUCUGGGGCUGUUAGUUUCAGAGCUCAGUGAAGAUCCAUGGAAAGGUAAUGUAAUUACUUUCAGUGCAAGUCCUGAGCUUCACAAGAUCCAAGGAGACAGCCUUGUAUCCAAGACUGAAUUUGUGAGGAUGAUGGAAUGGGGUGCGAACACUGAUUUUCAGAAAGUUUUUGACAGAAUCUUACAAGUAGCAGUGGAGGGAAAUCUGAGUGAAGAUCAAAUGAUAAAGAGGGUUUUCGUUUUCACUGAUAUGGAGUUUGAUGAAGCUUGUGGGAGGUAUAACUAUUGUGAAUAUGACUAUGAUAUGGAGGAAAUUGAUGAGAGUCAGAAGGCAUCUCAGAAGUGGGAGACAGAUUAUGAAGUGAUACAGCGGAAAUUCCAGGACAAAGGAUAUGGAAAAGUUCCGGAGAUAGUGUUUUGGAACCUUAGAAACUCAUCAGAGACUCCAGUGAUGGCCACAGAGAACGGGGUGGCCUUAGUAAGCGGGUUUUCGAAGAAUCUGUUAGACCUUGUUUUUGGAAGGAGGUGGAAUUCUGACCCCUCAGGAUGUGAUGGAAUUAGCCAUCUCUGGUGAAGAUUACAAGAAACUUGUUCUAUUUGAUUAAGAUAUCAAGAGAUUUAUCAAUAAUAAUAUGUUUUUUUUUUUCUAUGUGAAAUACAUGUAAUAUUAACUAUGGAGUUAUCAAAGUUCUGGAAAUUUAAUUAUUUCUUCUUUUCAAGUUUUGUUUGUCUUUGUUAGGAAUUCCCCUUGGGCGGACCCAGCUGGGGACUUGGAUUGAGGAAGUAAGGAGGCGAAAUUGUGUUCUUCUAUGGACAGAGAAAAAAGAUAAAAAUAAAAAAUAAAAAAGGAGGUUAUUUGCAUUUGGAUGUCAUGUGGUUUCAGGGUACAACUACAAGUUCGAAAUUGUACAUAAUGUGAAAAUUCCUGUGUGGAGAACAGCAUAAAUAUGUAUCUCAGUGUGUUUUGUUUGAGCUAAUUGGCAAAUUCGCUUUAAACAUGGUCACAUGGAUGCAUAUUUAUUUGUGAAAUGAUAGUAGUCGAUUACUUGGUCAGUAAGGUUUGUAUCUCUAACUCCAACAUCUUAUUGUAGUCUUUUAAAAUGUCAAAAGUUUAAUGCUAGCUUGAGAAAUUUUGGAAUGGAGACAUUCUAAACAAAGUUAAUAAUCCAUGAGACUUGGUAAAACCGAUCAGAUGAUGCUUACGUACAUGAAUGCCUUCUUUAAGCCGUAUCCUAUUUUCAUUGAAUGAGACGUGCCAUCUAGUUUUGUUCUUGUCUUGAUUGGAUCAUGAUCCCGGGAAUUGAUUACUGUUCUGAAUUUGCGAAUGUUCAAGGUAUUAGAGAAAGUUAAUAUUAUCGUUAAUUUACAUAUUAGUAUUUAUCUAGUUAUUAUAUAUUAGUUUGAAUUAUAAUAUAAUAUAGAAUUUGAAUCAAGUUUACUAUUAGUUUGAAUUACAAUAGGAAAUAAAGUUUGAAUUAUAGUAUAACUCAAAUAUAUUUGUAUAUAAAUAUCCAUCUUUAUCAAUGAGAAUAGUAAACCAUAUUUUUCUCUAUCUUCUUCUUUCUCUAUAUAUAUGGUAUCAAAGCCUCCAAAUCCUAAACCUAGUCUCAACUUAGAGCAAAUUUAGGGUGCAGGGUUUAGGCCCCGCCUCCCCCAACCCUUACCACAAAUGGUAGUGACCUUGUUAUGCCUAUGUAUUGUCAAUGCCUCAUUUUCUAUGGUCUUCAAUACAAUAUCUAGUUUCAAUGUCUCUUUCCUUACUAUCUCCAAUGCAAUAUAUUGAUUUCAAUAUCUCUUUACAACCAAGAGCUCCAAAUUUUCCUGGUUCAAAUCUACCAUAAUUUUUAUUCUCCUUUGCUUUUUACCAAUAUUAGUUCCCCUAAUUUAAUAUAUAUCUCUUUAUUACCUUCAACUCUACCUCUCUCUUUCUUUAAAAGCUUCCUCAAAGAUUUGAUUGCUUUCUUGCAUGUUUUGGGAAAACAAACAUGCUCAUAUUCUAUUACCUCUACUUGAGAUCUGCCUUAUACUCUACCUUCUUCUUUACCUCCUAUAUCAUCUACUACAUUAGCUUCAAAAACAUUAUUUAGUUUGAUGCUAAAUAAGGCUCCUAAUCCUACCCUUCCUUCAACUAACUUUCUUUUACAAGUCCCUCAAAGUUUUUUUUUUUUUUUUUUUGGAAAUUUGGCUUAGAAAGAUUUCAUUACUCUUACCUAAUCUUUCAACCAUCAAGUCGAAUCCACUUAUCUCUUGAAUCCAAGGAGACUACCCUCCACAAAAACAAGGAGAUUGACCCCCACAAUAACAAAGAGAUUGUCCUCCAUAGAAACAAAGAGAGCUUCCUUCAUGGAAGCCGAAUACAUCGCAAUCUAUUUUCUUUCUCUCAAGAUCAAAUCUCCAAUCGGAGCUCCAUCUUGUGGGGAUAUAUUAGAAAAAGUUAAUAUUAUCCUUAAUUUACAUAUUAGUAUUUAUCUAUAUUAUAUAUUGAAUUAGAAUAGAAUAUAGAAUUUGAAUUAAGUUUACUAUUAGUUUAAAUUACAAUAGGAAAUAGAGUUUGAAUUAUAGUAGAACUCAAAUAUAUUUAUAUAUAAAUAUCCAUCAUUAUCAAUGAGAAUAGUAUUCCAUAUUUUUCUCUUUCCCUGAGGCUUCAGAAUGUGAUCUUGAACAUUUGAUCUUUUGGAUUCUUCUUGUUUCGGUGGUUUAAUAUAAUGGAAUGUUUAAUUAUAGCCUACUUUAUCACCAUGGAUGUGCUCCUGCAGAUUUCUUGAGGGUGAUGGUUAUUUUGUCAUGUUUCUUGAAUGGUUUGCAUCAGCUGCCUGAGCUGUUGUUGCUGGUCACUUUUGCAACCAGGGAAAGAAUCAUGGCUUUGGAGAAGCCAGCUUCUGUUUUUGUUGCCCAGCUGUUAGUUCACUAAGAUUGGGGGUCCUAACAUGUAUGUAUAAUCAUAAGCAAGGAAAUUUUAUGUCUUACGCUAGAUAGGUACCAUGAUAUGAUGUUUGAUUGAUUUAUUAACUCUACCUGUUUCAAAAGGCAUCAACAUUAAUUUUACCCUUUUAACACAUUGGAUUGUUUGACCUUACGAGAUUUUCUAUUUCUGUACUAUUUGAACUGCAAUCGUUAUGGUCCUUAGGUCUCUAAACCUUCGUUUAAAAUAAAAGUAAGGAGCACACAUAGUAAAAGUUAAUUUUGGGUAACUUUUAAAACAAAGAGAAAAGUAAAAGUUGUUUUUGAGAAAAACAUAUAGAAAUUGAAAGAUUUUUUAUUUUGAGAAAAAAAAGUCAUAGAAAAGAAAUAAUAUCCCCAUAUAAGUAGAUAUGAUCUAUCCGAAGUGUAGCUACUCUCCUGGAUUUAUUCUAACAUUUUAAAAUUUUUCUCAAUGGGCAAAGGAAUAUCAAAUCAAGCUUGAGUAGGAUUAAUUUCUUAAUUUUUAAAAUAACUUAUAAUUAAAAUUUUUUGGUGUUUUCUUUUUUGGACAAUUUUUUAUGAAGACUCUGAAUCAUGCAAGAGAUAUGGUUAUUUUAAAAAAAAAAAUAAUUUAAAACUCAAAUACAUAAUCAAUGUCACAAAUUUAUAAACAAAAGGUUUUUAAAAAAUACUAUUAUUUCCCCUCUACACAUAAUUUUACUUUUCCGAUUUAUUUAUUUUUGUUGGAAAACAGUCUUCAAAUCAAGUAAAAUUAAUAUGUUAAAUUUGUUAAACAAAUAAAUUUUAAAAUACAAUUUGGAACUCAAAAAUCAAUUCAAGUAAUGCUAAAAUUCAAAAAAUCAAAUUUGGAAUAAAAUGACUUUGUAAAUUUUUUUACUAAACAAAUGAAUUUUAAAUCAAGUGAGAUUUAAUACAUUGGAUUUUUAUGAGAAUAGUAAUUUUAAAAAUUAAUUUGGAACUCAAAAAUAGACACAAUAAAUACCAAAAAUCAAUGAACCAAAAUUGGUUUGGAAUAACUCCAUAAUUUUUUAUUUAUUUAUAUAUUUAUUUUUUUGUGCACACGAAUUUCUUACUAAGCAUAUUGCUUCCAAAUUGAGAAAAAUUUACUAUUUAGAUUUUUUUAAUGAGUUUAAUGGUAUUUAAAAAUAAUUCAAAAAUUCGAAAAUUGACUAAUUUAAUAUUAUAAAUUCAUAAACCAAGACUAAUUCAAAAUGCAUUGGGGGCUAAGGGGGUUGAAAUUAAUGCUCCAUUUGGUUGUGGCCACCAAUUGGCAAUGGCCACCAAUCAACCAAUCAAGGUGGCUAAGGGGGUUGAAAAUAGGGACAAUGGGGUGGGUUUGGGACAGGACACUCAUAUCCCAUUCCCAUCCCAAUUACACAGUUAUUUCCCAUCCUUAUUCCAAACUUGUGUUGGGGCAAGUUGAUUUGUUCCCAUCUUUGUUAACGAAAUGACUAAUAACCUCAUCCUCUCCUUGUCUUAGAUGUACAUUUUCUCAAAUUUGGUCAGGUAUGAUUGAUUCAAGCCCUAACCUUAAUUGGUAAUGAGUGGAUACCACACCUAAUUGCAUUCUUCUUUCGUUGCAAAAUAAUGAGAUUAUAAUAAUCUAGCAAAUAAGAAAAAAUAGUAUGGAAGUUCAAAUUAACACCAUAACUAUCAAUAAUUUUAAGCUUAUAGAUGACUUAAAUGAUUGAAAACUAAUGCAAAAUACUAAAAAAAAAAAAAAUCAUCUAAAGAAUUCACAAGAGAAUAGAACGAACAAAACCAAAUAGGAACAUGGGUCAACAUUAGUUACAGAUUUUGAUCCCUUUCAAGGCCAAUCUUUGAACCAAGACUUCAUCAAAUCUACUACUUCAAAGGCUUUUGUGUUCUUCUUGAGUUGUACUCUGGAACAAAGACUUCGAGGUGAUGCUUUAGAUGAUUGCAUUACACAUAUUUAGGGUAGGGAGAUUGGAGAAGCUUGAAGAUGCCAACGAUGGGUACAAUUGAGUGGUCAAUAAGAACAAUGUGGCCUAUGACUAGUUUGAUGUCAUGGUAUAGGAGUUUUGGGCAUUGAGGUGAAAGCAAGAGCAACAUGGAAUUGAUUUCAAAGUCUUUCAAUUAGUGUAAAGGAGGAAGAAGAAGUGGUAUUGAUCCUAGAAAUAGUGUUUUAGGUGUUGCAUUAGAGGAAAAGAAAAAGAAAAAGAAGGAACCAUUGGAAUUAGUACGAGUGUGAAGAGAGAAGUGUAUACAUAAGGGGAAGUAAAAGCAAAGUUCUAAAAAUUUAUUUUUUUAUUGGUGGUGUAUGGUUGCAUGAUUAUCCCUAUAAAUAAUAGGAGUUUUUUGGUGUUCUACUAGUAGUUGAAGGAUAAUUUCAUAAGAUAAUAUUUAGAGCGGGGUGGGGUGAGUUGUGACAAAAUCCAUACCCGUCCCAAACAUUGGUUCAGGUUUUUAAAAUAUUUUCAAACUUAUCAUAUACCCAAUUUUAUAUUUCAUACUUGUCCUAAUAGAGACAGGUUAGUCAGGGUUACUUGAGUAGCCUACAAAACUAUCAUCCCUAGUUGAAAUGCUCUUUUUGGCAGUGGCAGCUAGAAGCUCGAUCGAUUGACCUACAAGACUAGUUGUCAUCAUUUUAAAAAGAGUUUUGGCUUUGGUUGUGAGUGCAAUUGAAUCUAAACUAACAUUUCCUUAAUGCAUCUACUUCAAUCCUAAACUUCUUACUUAAGCCUCAAUUGUUGUUAAGAUUUUGGAAAACCCAUUUCCUUAAAUUGUAAAUUUAAGAAAAAAAAAAUUAAAAGUGAGACAUUUCUUGAUUGAAUGUUGUUAAAGGUCCCUUGGAAUUAAGACUUGGUUGAAGCCUUGGAAGAUUAGCAGAACUCUCAACUUAUGUUUGAACCUUGAGGAGAGUGGACGUAGGCCAAAAUUUUGUCAAACCAUUAUACAAAUUGAGUUUGAAUUCUCAUUUCUUGAUUUCUUAUUUAUUUGCUUUUUCUUAUUAUUACUUGAAUUGUCAUUUGCAUUCAUUAAUGUUAAAAUUGGUUAUAAUUAGCCAACACUAAUUCUCUUUCCCCUUCCCUUAAUUUCUUGGGUGUAAACCUAGGUUGGAUUAACUAGAUUUUAUCAAAUCUAUUAAGAUGGUAAAAGAAUAAUUAUUCUUAACAUACAUAAGAUCAUCUUCAAUCAAAUGACUCAUUGGCUGAUAUGUUGAAUUUGCUUAUUACUUGCAACUCAAAAUUGUGUUCUAGUUGAUAUGUCAAGUCCUGAGUGUAUGGACAUUAAAUUUGUAGUACGUGAUGAGUAUUUAGAUGGUCCAAUUCCAAGAAAGUGAUUGAAAACUAGUUCAAGAAAGGUGCAAAAGGGAAUUGUUUUGGUAUUUUCGUUUUUAUUCUUGAAGGUGGCAGAGCUAAAAUUUGAGAAAUCAAGCAAAACAUACUGAAAUUACAUUGAAAGAAAGAAAAUGGGAGUUAAUGUCUUGCAGUACAUGAUAAGGACUUCAUGCAUGUAGUGUGACCCAUGUCUUGGACUGAUGCCACACUCACGGUUACACUUAUACCCUUAGUUCUCUCUUUACUACCUUAGCUAACCUAGAUCAGGUUAUGAGAUAGGCACCUCACCACACCAUUACUUGCCCAUUAAUUAGUGACAUUUUCAAGCAAUGAGGUAACAUGGUGACACCAAGAGGGUAUAUUCCUCACCCCCAACAAGCCUAGACCUGGUCUAAAAAAAAUGGAGAAAAAUGACGUGUUGUUAUGCAGAAAUAUAGCAACCAUGCCUUCCUCAUUACUUAGAUUCAGAAUGUGAAGGUGAAAUUGAGAAACAGAAACUCUUGAAACCAAAAUGAAAAUUGAUACUUUUACGAAGAAUUACAACAACAUUAGAGGAAGACUACAUUCUUCCUCUUUAUUCCUACAUUUCUACACUACUUCUACUCCACUCCAUAUUUCUACAUACAUCUUUAAUCAGUCUUCCCUCCUUUAUAUAGAGCCAUCUUCACACAAAUUCCGCAAGGUAGAAAAGAGGAAUGAAACUUGGAGCAAGGUUCGACUACUGGCUGUAGCUUGUCAAGGCUGAAAGUGAACUUUUUUUCUUGGCUUUUCUGGGCAUAGGUAGUAACUUGUAGGUUCCUUUUUGGAAUGAAAAUGGUACGGCUAGAACAUGUGGCACUCUCUUGUUGGAUGAUGUGUCAAGCAUGUGGCAGCCAUCUAGUGGAGAUUAUGUCAAUUUUGGGAUGGAGAGUUGGCAUCCAAUUGCAAAGAAAUAUGACAUCUACCAACAUGCAAUGUCAACCUAUGUAGAUCAUAUGAAGAUAGAGAGGAAAAAUAUAGAAAUGGAUAUAUAACUAGAACUAGCUUUUUAUUAAAUGAGACGGAGAGCCAACAAUGAAGGAAAAUCAAAAUUUUUGGCUCAUAUCAAAGAAUUCACAUUGUGUUACCCUAGGUUUUCUUAAAACUUACUUUUAUGAUAAUAAAAAAUCAUUAUUGUUUAAUCCUUUGUUUUAAACGCAUGUUUAGCAGGUUGUAAAAUGUAAAUAUCUUUCGAAAUUCAAAUAUGAAGAUAUGACAUCAUUUCAAGCAAUAUAGUCUCUAGGAAUUAAUGUAAAGCUAAAUUAAGGUGCAAUUAAGUUAGUUCAAUGCAUUAUUUUAAGAAACUUGACCUAUCAAAACCUUGUCUUACUUCAAAGCCUCUUUUUCUUUUCUUCCAACUAACAUUUUAAUAAGUGAUCGCAAAAGUACAAAAUUAGAUGAAAUCCAUUUCAAUGGUUAAAAUGAUCAAAUUCAAACUUUUUCUAAGUAUCUUUUAAAAGCAUCAAUAUUGAAAGACAAUUUUAUAUUUAGUCAAAGCUUGGACAGAGCCAAAAAGCACACAAAAAUUUAUAUUUUCUAGCUCUCUACCUUGGAUGGUCUCUUGAUCCUACUUGGAGAUGUGCAUAAAUAAAAGGAUUUGAAAAUGACAAUUGACUAAGUAUGUAGUCAAUCAAUUACUCAUUGAUUGACUAGUUGAUCAAUUAACUUUGCAACAUCAUAUGCAAUCCUAAUAGCUAGUCAUCUAAUCAACUAGGUAGUAAAUCAAUAGGCCAAAAAUAUGUUUAUAAUGACUAUUUUGUACAAAAACCACUUAUAUAGUUAAAUAUAAUGCAUUUCAUUUAUAAAUCUUCUAAUUCUUGAAUAACAAUCCUAUCAUCCUUUGAAAGUUUUUAUUACACCUUUUCUACAUUUGUUCUAAAACUUAUACAUCACCCUUAAUUGUACCAUGAGAACCUAGCAUUUUUUUUUUUUUUUUUGUAUUUCAUCAAAGUUAGCUCUUGUACUCAUUGUUGUAUUAUUUUUAUUGUAACUUAGAGAGCGAGUGUUUUCAAGUGAGUGAAAUUGACUUGUAAAUAUUGUAAAGAUUCAUUGAUAUGUAUCUCAAACUAGGUGUACAAGUUGAAACAUUUGCUAGUAGAUUUUCUCAAGAUUUAGAAUGAGCUUAAGGCUAUCGAAUUAGGUGGGGUUGCGCCAAACCAUAUCACAUCGUUGUUUGCACCUUUUUUUUCACUCUCUUUUACUUAGUUGCUCUAUAUAUAUUGUCUAGCAAUAUCCUAAAGGCUUGAUGGGCUAGGGAGCAUCCCUCUGAAUGAAAAAUUUUCAUUCAAUUCUUAGUUGUAUUACGCAUAUAUAAAAUGCCUCAUUGUUUUAAUGGUAUUCAGUCGUGGCACCACAGAUAUGGACAUCUAAAUUUUAAAAGUUUGAAACUUUUAGCUAAAGAAAAUAUGGUGCUUUGCCUUUUUGGAAAGCAUGUUGAUGAAAUCCAUGAGAAUUGUAUACUUGGAGAGCAACAUCGAGAUAACUUUUUUUUUUUCUUUUUUUAUAAUGCAUUGUUUGUCCAAAUUCCGUACAAAUUAGGCCACCACAUGUUCAUAAUUCUCCCUUCUUGAAUUUGAAAACUCGGACAAUUUGACAAUGCGACACCUAAGUCCGGUUUUUAAAUGCUAAAGUGAAAGGGCAGGUAUGGACCAUUGAAAUGUGAUAACAACUUUUGGCCUUUUCCUUUUCUCUGUAGCCAUGUUGUCUCUUUUUAAUUUCUUUUGCAUGAUUUUCUUACCUAAACAGAAUCAUAGACUUGUUUAAUCUCUAAGUGGGAUUUCAUCCACCUUAAGCUACUGUAUUAUAUCUCGGUGGAGGACAACCGACAUAGAGCACAUGCAAGUGGGUAUAUGGGACAUGAAAUAUCUUCUUAUAAAGCUUGUUUUGCAGUUAAAUUAAUUGGAUAAGUAGACACUGGCGUUUCUAAAUUUCCCACCUAAGAUAAUGACCUUAUCCUUGACUGCUAGAUACACAAACAAUUAUACCUUCAAAAUCUACUGUGAAGUGCUUCAUGUAUGUGUGAAGUAUUAGAAAUUUCUUUCUUGGCAACUUGUUUUUUUCUUUGCGGUCUACUGAUAGGUUUGACUAAAAUUAUAUUCCCUGUCCUGCUAAUUAAUUUUCACGUGCAUGCUCAAAAGAAGAGUAUGACCUUAGUGCACCAAAAUCACUUUCAAUAAUUUGUGAUAAGUUUUUUUGCAUGACAUUAACCUUAUUCAUUUAGAUAAUGUUUAGUUCUCAUAAAUAUUAAGAAAAUGAAAAUAAAUAUUAAGAAAAAUAUUCUUAUAUUUGAUUGUAUUAUGAAAAAUAUCAUAAAAAAUCAAAUAUAAUUAAAAUUAAUUAAUAAUUUAUAUAUUUUAAAAUUAUUUAAUUUUUAUAUUAAAGAUAUAAUAUAAAUGAAAUGAGUUUUAAGUAUUAUAUAAAAAUGAUUUAUUUAUUUAUUUAUAUAUAUAUAUAUAUAUAUAUUUAGUUUUUCUCUUUAUUUUAUUUUCCUUAUGUUUUCCUCACAUUUUCCGGAAUCAAAGAUAGGGAAAUCCACAAUUACCUUCAACUGAGUAGAUUCUAUUGUUUUAGCAAUGUUAGGCUGCUAACUUGUGGUGGUACGAACCAAAUGAUCCAUGUUAAUCUUGGCUUGAUUUAAUUUGGCUCUAUCUCAGAGAACUCAAGGAUCACGUCAACUCUGGUUUCUACUAUUCAGGUCCAUUCCCAGAUGAACUGGUUCAAAUUUGAGAAAAUGGUAACAGACCUUUAGUGAUAUUGGUUUGGAGCCAGUUGCCAAACCUGCCCUGAGCUUUACCACUAAUGUCAAGGGACAAAGCCAUUUGAACAAAAACAAUAGCUUCAAGAGACUGAAUCGUGGAUGAAAUCUGAUCCACAUUUCUUCUCAUUUUGGGAAAAAAUGAGGACUUAACCACAAAGAUUCUACUGCCUCAUAGUGCUUUUCCUGAUCUAAGGUUGGCUCGUUUCCCAAAUUGUGAGGUGCACGUGCCACUCUCACGCUCAGGAGUGUAUCCACGUGGUGGACAUAAGAUGGUGGCUUAAUAUCUGGUGUCGGUGGCUUUACUUUACUAGGAGAGUAGUGUGUCUUCAUCUCAUUCACUGCCAGAGGGUGGCGUAAGCAGUGACGCUAAGGUGGGGCACAGUCAAUAUCAUUUGCAUUUGACCAUUAUAAUUUUCUCCCGGCUUUAAAGUAACCUUAUCGUGAUAAUGGAUUACUAGCACUAGUUCAGAUGACAGUCAUGUUAAAUUCGGACCAUGUUUGUGUCACAUUAUCAGCAACCAUGUGCUUGUGGUUCAUGCUAUCUGCAACUAAACUUGAUAUAUAACCAGGUGAACUUCAAUCUAAAUUCUGGAAGUACUCAUGUGAUAGAUGGUGCCUGUCUGCAGUGAGUGUAUCUAUAAGAGGGAAGGCUUGGCAAAUGUUCAGUUUUCUGGGAAUUCAACAGGGAUCUAAAAUAGAUUGUUUUCUUUGCUGAUUUCAAUGGUUGAAAUUUGAGAAGAUUGUGUCCACAUAACACAACUAUUACUGGUCCUUCUGUUGCAAUUUAUCCUCUAAGGCUCUAACAUGUCUUCCAAUUCCCACUUCCCACUUCCCUGUUACUCCAGGAAAGCUGUUUCUGUCAUUGUGAAGAAGAAAAGAGACUGUACAUAUCGAUGCUUUUAAGUGGACUGGAGAAUUCAUAUCAGGUGGUCUGCAGCCAUACAUGCCACUUUGUGAAGGUUGGAACAGUCAAUCACUAGGCUAUAUUAGUGGGGCCCAGCCACUUCAAUCAAGGACAAGUCUUCAUACUUAAAGUCAAAUUCUGCCUUUAGUCUCAUUAUAAAUUGCUGUUUAAAUAUCAAGCAAACAUUUGUUUAAUGCGAUUAAGACAGCACUAACUCAAUACUUGUUCUAUUUUUGGAUGCAAAUGCUUGAUAGUUUCAUCAUUGGAGGGGAUAAAGGUGCAUUCAUGAUUAUGAAUACUUGUAGUUAUAUUUUCAUUCUCUUUUUUCUCAAUGGGACUUGUUGGCACAAUUUUGCUGUUCAGAAACCUACCUCUCCAUGGAAAAUCAGUUGUGAUUGAUAUUACUGGAUAUAUUCAAGAAAGCUAAAUGUAGAUAGCACAAAAUAUUAUCGACAUAAAUAGCAUUAACAGCGUACGUAUGUCUCAAUGCUCAUCAGCUAUAAGCAAGGGGCAAACACUUACUAUGAGCAACUUACGUCAAAAUUCCGGAAUAGGACAUAGAAGUGACAGGUCAGUAAAUAUAGAACACUGCAUAUGAGUCACAAGAAAGGAAAUUACGGGUACAUAGCAGCUCUUAUUUUACAUCCUACUCAUACUGAUCAAAGUCACUCAGUUGGGAUGGGUGGGAGUGGGAGGUUUGUGGGGUGGCUUGUGCGGAGGAGUUGGCAGCUUCUUUCCAGGACCUGGUUGCUUCUCUGCUGGAGUUGAAGGAGGCUUAAUCUUCCGAGGUGGCUUGUAUGAGUCUUCAGCAUUCUCAGCAGGAGGGUGACCAGGGUUGUGACCACAAUGUGGUGGCUUCUCUCCCUUAGGUGGUUUGCCAACUGGGGUUGGUGGCUUGUGUUCCGGAAGUGGCUUCUCUUUGUGUUCAGGAGGUGGCUUCUCCACUGGAGGCUUGUGUUCAGGAGGUGGCUUCUCCACCGGAGGCUUGUGUUCAGGAGGUGGCUUCUCCACCGGAGGCUUGUGUUCAGGAGGUGGCUUCUCCACCGGAGGCUUAUGCUCUGGUGGUGGCUUCUCCACCGGAGGCUUAUGCUCUGGUGGUGGCUUCUCCACCGGAGGCUUAUGCAAUGGUGGUGGCUUCUCCACCGGAGGCUUGUGUUCAGGAGGUGGCUUCUCUACCGGAGGCUUAUGCUCUGGUG